UCAGCUAGCUAUCUUAUUUAAUGAUAAAUUUUUUGAAUAAAAGUAAAAAUAAAAUAUAGAAUAAUUAAAUAUAAUUUUUUAAACCAGAUAUGAUAAUAAAAGAAAAAACUUCAAAUACUAUCCUUGUGGUUUCACACUUUCUUACUUUAGGACAUGUAGUUCAAAAUGUAUCAAUUUAGUGCCCUUUGAUUUUAUUUUUAUCUUUUUAUUAUCGAUUCCACUAAUUUUUUUCGUUAAAUCAGUGACAAAAUUAAAACUAAAGGGUACUAAAGUGAAUAUUUGAUAAACCUAGGUGGAAUAUUUGAAGUUUUUGUAUAUAAUUAAUGAAAUAUUAACAGAAAAACUGACGAAAAAAUAAAAAUAAAAUCACAAAAUACUAACUUGAUAUACUUUAAAUCACAUGACACUAAAAUGAAAAAGUGUAAAAUUACAAAAAUAGUAGUAUUUGAAGUUUACCCAAAAUAAAAAUAAGUUAGAUCACAAAAGGGCAAAUUAAAGUUAUUUUCUUUAUUAAGAGAAAGAAAAGUCUAUUUUUAAAACAUUUGACUUUUACGUGUGGAACGGGCAAAGUGUUGUAGAAAUUUUGACCAAACGUCAAAAAAAUUUGCCGUCCAUAUGCGUCGGCUCUCUGUUAACUCCGCCUUACUGACUUUUUUUUUUUUUAAUUCAAAAAUCAGGUUAAAAAUUGUAAAAUUUAUCUCAAUUAUUAUUCAUUUUGAUCUGACUAUAUAUUAAUUUUUUAAUAUUUUUUUAUUUGAUUUGAGCGAUUAAUAAUUCUUUAAUUUUAAAAUUUAAAUGUGUUCGCUUAUCUUUAUAGGUUUAAUCGAUAUGCUUUAUGCAAUUCAUUUAACAAUUUUAUAUUAAAAGAGUCGUCAAAUGAUUUAAAUCAUAGCAGGCACUUUUGAGUGCUAUUAUAGAAAUAUUUAGUGACAAUUGUGAAUGUCGAAAUAGAUAUCUUAGCCGACACUUCUGAGUGCCACUAUAAAUUCUUAUAGGUGGCAGUUUAAAGUGCCGGUUUUGUAGCAUUUACUGGCAGUUGACAAGAAGUGCCAGCAAAAGAAUUGCCGACGGACGUUUAACCGGCACUUACGAGUGCCACAAAAUUGUGCCGGAAAAAACUUUUGCUGGCACUUUUUAUACUUUUUCCGGCAUUUUCAAUUGCCCCUAAAUGCCCCUUUUGGUGUAGUCAAACAGAUUUAAACAUAGAAUACCAAAGUUAAAAUUUUUAAAAAAUUAAAUAGUUAGAUCAAAAUAGUCUAUAGUUCAGACAAAUUUUAUAUACUUUUAUCUUAAAAUUAUUGGUAAAAUAUGAUGCACAUACAUACAAAUAAAUCAUGCAUGAGAGGUUGCAAUCACGUUUUAGAAAAUAAAAAAAAUUUGCUUGCAGCGUCAAAGACGUUGAUUGGUCAAAUAAAAACAACCAGCUGUUUGACCGCGUACUAUAUUUUUUUUCUUUUUAUUAAUUUCUCUUAUUUAUUUAUUUAUUAAUUUUUUUUUUUUUUUUUUUGACACACUCAACAUUCACCCACUUUUUUUUAAGUACAAAAACAAAUUAUAUUUGGAUCCCUCUCUCUCUCUCUCUCUCUCUAUAUAUAUAUAAGGCUAAUCAAAUAAGAAACAAAUGUUUUAGUCGUGUAGAGAAGAGCAACGACAAAAUUCGUUCCAUCAGAUCGAGGAGCAGCGAUGGCCGCGGCGGCGAAUUCGCCGGCGAUGGCGAUGCGGUGCGUCUUCGACGGGUGCAUCGCCGCGGCCGACACGGAGGUGCAGCGCCGCCCGUACCACCGCAACUGCGGCUGCGCCCUCCACCGCAGCGGCGGCGGCUGCGGCGCCGCGUGUAGCUCACGCCUCUCGUACGCCACCGCCGUAGAGAAGCGGUCUCAGUACUGUAAGGAGGCUUCGGUUGUAGCUACUCUUUCCGCGCCCUUUGGUGAUUUGGUGGAGAUAAAAGGAGAUCGAAUCUCAAAGCACAAGGGGGAGGUUUUUUUGGAGAUUGGCUCUAUGUAAUUAUUAUAUGAUUAUAGUUAUAAUUAUGACAAUAAUCAUAAUUGGUUGGUUUUGAUGAGACAAUUAAUGCAUUUGCAUGGAAUGUAUUUUUGUUUUUUAUUUUUUAUUUUUUUUCUUACAGAACUAAACUGUAAUAUGAUUAGCUAAAAUACGGUGAAAUUAUAUUUACAUGUUAUUUAUUUUUGUAUGAGCAAUUGUGCUUGAAUUUUGGCCUUAGUUAGACUUUAAGAUACGUUUUAGCCUUGAUUUUCUCAUCAAAUCCCAUCCAAAAUGGGUGUUGGAUUAAUCCAACAAUAGACGCUUUAAUUUGAAUCAAAAUUAAACUAUUAUAAAACACGUGGCACUUUGAUUAUCAAACUUUUAUUUGCUGUAAUUUUUUAUUCAAACUUUUAUAAAUUGUUUUAAGUAAAUUUCACAAUAUUCUAAUUUAAUUUACUUAAUGAUGGUAUGUUGUUAAUAUAACAUUUUACAACAUUUUAAUCAUUUCUACAUUUUGAGCCACAAUAUAUAUUGCCACAUCAGUUACACAUCAUCGUUCAGUCAAUUAAAUUUUUAUAUUUGAAACUUGAUUCCAACAAUUUAAUUAUUGGAGCAAAAAAUUAUAAUAAAUUAAAAUUUGAAUGCCAAAAUUGUCGGAUCAUUGGCACUAACUAUUAAUCCCAAAAGUUCAAGUUGUUAGAAAUAUACAAUCAAUUCACUUAAAACGUAUAGACACAACAUUCACGGAUCUUGAUUGUGACGUGGUCUAACUAAUCUCGCACUAUUUCGAAUGUGACUCGACCCAAUUUGAUCUCUCACUGCAGAAUAAGAAAUUGGCCUUUUUAAACUAACAAGAAUGUCACAAAUUUUAUAAUUCAAGGAAAAAAGUGUGAUUUAAUCUAAAUCUUAACUUGUCAAACAAUAUGAGAGUCCACCAAAUCUACCAAAAGCUUGUGGGUUUUGUCCACAACCCUGUUGCACACCUAUUUUGCCUCUUAUUUGACCUGUAUCAUAUUAGUAUAUAUUACAAAUAUACCAAUUUCAACCAUCUAGAUAAUAUUUUAUAAUUUAAAUUGCAAGACAAAAUAAUAUACUGAUUGGUAGAACUUUGGUGAGUUGGUGGGAGAGGCACAGCUGUGAAUUAAAAGCAUAAUCUAUUUUGACUUUGCAUAAAUAUAUAAAUAUAUCAAUAACAUUCAUAUUCAUGACCAACCAAACUAGUUGGUUGGUACUGUACUAACAUAUUGCCACCUAAUGCAAUUAGUUAAAUAUAACUGUUUCAUUAGUAUCUCCAACACCAAGAUGUAGAUUCUAAUCUUAAAUUAUGUUUCAAGCGCGAGCAGAAACUUGAGAUUAAGCUGAAAAUGUGAAGCAACUAUAGUUCGAACUUGAAAACGAAGAUAUUGACCAUCAAAUUUGUUACCACCUAUGCUAGGGACGGUUAGUGUUGGAUUAAAGGGGUCAACAUUCUGCCCUAUGAUAAGAGGUCAGAUUAAGCUGAGUCACAUUUGAAAUGACAGAAGGCUGGGUUGAGCCAAGCCAUAUUCAAAGUAGCAAGAGAUUGGUUAUGCCGAGUCAUAAUCGAGACUCGUAGGCAUUGUGUCUACACGUUUUUAAGUAAAUUGAUUGCAUAUUUGUAACAGCUCGAAAUUUCAAAAUUAAUGAUUAACGCUAACGAUCUGACGGUCAGUAAAUCAAAAUAAAUGUGAAGAGUGAAGUUUUCUGAUAAAUGCAACUAUUUAUGGUCCCUAAAUUAUCGGGAAAACUUCAAAACCCCCUCUGUGGUUUCGCACUUUUUCAUUUUAGUACCCUGUGGUUUAAAAUAUAUCAAGUUAGUACCCUAUAGUUUCUCACUUUAUCACUUUAGUAUCCUGUGGUUUAAAGUGUAUCAAGUUAGUACCCUGUGGUUUUGCACUUUAUCACUUUAGUACCUUGUGGUUUCACACUUCAUCACUUUAGUACCCUAUAGUUUAAAAAACCACAUGGUACUAACUUGAUACAAAAUUAAAACCACGGGGUACUAAAGUGAUAAAGUGCAAAAUCACAGGGUACUAACUUGAUACACUUUAAACCACAGGGUACUAAAGUAAUAAAGUGAGAAACCACAUGAUACUAACUUGAUACAUUUUAAACCACAGGAUAGUAAAAUGAAAAAAAUUAAAAUCACAAGGGGAGUUUUUGAAGUUUUUCCCUAAAUUAUCUCAGGAUGCAAUAGCUCUCUAUAGCUUCUGGCUUGUUUUGUUGUAGAAUAAAAAUUUUACUGCUUUCCACAUAAAAAUGAGCUCUUCUCACAAACUUCAGGCAAAAUUUAAUGGACAGGGUAUUGAAACAAUCUUUUCAAAAGAUGAUAUUUGGAUGUUUUUUGUUGGAUCGUUGGCGCUAACCAUUAAUCUCAAAAGCUUGAGCUGUUAGAAAUACGCAACCAAUUUACUUAAAAGCGUAUAGAUACGGCGCCCACGGGUCUCGAUUAUGACUCGCCUCAAUCAGCCUCAUGCAACUUCAAACAUGACUCGGUCCAACUCAGUCUCACGCCAUUUCGAACAUAACUCGGCCAACAUGACCUCCCGCCACAGGGCAGGAUGCUCGCCCAUUUAAGCCAACACUUUUUCUGCAGUUUUAAAAUACACAGAUUAAAUCCUAAAAUCCUUUGACUUUGGAGUAAAGUGAACAUGAAUUUUUAUCUCCGAAAAAUGUUGCACUCUUUGCGCCAAGCAACUAAGGGCAUGUUUGGUUGGCUUUUUUUUCACCAUGGAAUCGGAAUUGAAAUAGGCGAAUUUAUUUGUGGGUGUUUGGUAUGCGAGAGUCUCAUUCUGAUUCCGAUUUCCAAGUGGAAAGGGAAUCCCCAAUCACCUCUUUUUUUCAAUCCGGCUAGGAGGCCGGAUUGGAAGUUGAAUUUGGACGGAAUGGAUAUUUAUUCGGAUUAAAUUUAUUUUUUCAACUUUUUUAAUUAAAAUUUGAGUUAAAAUUUAAAUAUUAAAUAUAUAAUUUUAAAUUUUAAUUUGAACUUAAAUUAAAAAUUAAAAUUUAAUCAAGUAUUUCGAAUCUAACUUAUGAAUUUGAAUUUAAAUUAAAUUUUAAUUUAUAUAAAGUUGUAUUCAAAUUUUAUUUCAAACUUAAAUUAAAUUUAUGGAUUCAAAUUAAAAUUACAAUUGUAAUUUUAAGUUUGAAUUUGAAUAAAUCAAAAUUUAGUUUCAUAUUUUGAAUUAUCCACUCAACUUCAAAGUUUAAUUUUUUUUUAAAAAAAAUAGAUUUAAAAUUUUGACAUUAUUUCAAAAUUUUGAUGUAAAUUUUUAAUAUUUAAUUUUUAAUUUGAAUUUAAAUUAACAUAUUUUAAAGAUAAUGUUAGUAUAUUAAUUUGAUUACGUUUUUUAUAUCCACAUGAACCAAACACCGACAAUGAGAAUAAUUUAUUCUGAUUCCGAUUCAGGUGAUGAACCAAACAAAAUUAGAUAAUGAGUCAUUCCGAUUUCCGAUUCUAGUUUAUUUUGAUUCCGAUUAUGAUUCUGACUCCGACUUUGAACCAAACACGCCCCAAGUGUAAGAUUUGCAUACCCUAGCCUUUUAGCGGUUAGGAUCCAUCCAAUAGUUUAAACUAUGCGAUUCAUGGAGGGUAAAACAUACACCUUAUAUGAGAUGUACAGAUAACAUUUUUCUUCUUAGAGCGGUCUCCCAAUAAUCAAAUAAUUCUAACUCAGUCCAAAAUGAAUGUAAGCUUCAAAUUUUUGGUUCGGCCCAAGUUAAAAAUGACCCAAAUGGGUCGGCUCAGCCCAUGCAUAUUCCUAAGUGGACGAAUGCACCAAUCACCUCCUAUUGUGCAUCAACCGCUAUUUGUUUGUUUGUUUGUUUGUUUGUUUGUCCGUAAGUGAUUUUUAAUUUUACAGAGAUUUUCAGUUAAAUUAGACUUCAGGUGAAAAUAUUUUAAAAAUCAAACAAAAUAAAUCCUUUAUUUCUUUCCCCCUUUAGAUUGACGUAAAUAGAUUCAGAUUGAUGGAGCUUCCGUUCUAAUACGUCUCAAAUGAGAUGAUAAGUGAGGACGACAAAUAUUUAAAAAAUAAUAAUUCGUUUCAAAAUUGUAAAAAAGUAAAACAUGAGGCUGGAGACUCAUUUUCUUUGACCCACCGCCACCAUUUAUUAUUAAAAUAUUUGUCAAAAAUUCGCUUUCCUAUAUUGAAUGCGGAACGAUAAGUGGGAAUGAAAAAUGUGACACAAAUAAAUCCGUUUCGAAUCCAUCCUGACUCGCCACGAAAACGGGGUGGCAGGUGAGAAACCCCUCCUGCCGUCGGAUCCACCUUGAUUACAUAUUCAAACUCCUCUCUUUCUUUGAUCCGUCACCACCAUUUGUUAAAAUAUUUUUCAAAAUUUUACCUUUCCAUUGAAACAAAAAAUAAUAAAUAAUGAUAAAAAUCAAUUCGUUUCGAAUCUAUUUCGACCCGCAGCAGGUAAUGGAGUGGGAAAUGAAGAAACCCCUUCCGCCCGCAGAUCCAUCUUGAUUGCAUAUCAAAACUCUUUCUUUUUUUUUUUUUUUACCGACUGUCCCUAGAGCAAGUGGCAAAGGGCUUGGUUGUUGGUAUUCGAGACCCAAGUUCAAAUCCUAAUUGAUUCAUAUUUUCAGCUAAGUUUAUUUAUAAAUAAAAUAAACGAAGCGGUAGCGUGCUAUCUAUCUCAAAAAAAAAAAAAAAAAAAAAAAAAAAACUCUUCUCUUUUUUUGAUUCGCCCCGCCUGAUUGUUAAAGUAUUUUUCAAAAAUUUGUCUCCCGAAUAGAAAAAGUAAAAUGCAAAAAAUAAAAAAUCAAAAUCGUGCCGAAUCCAUUCGGAUCCCUUGCGUAAACGGGUCCGUUGCUGCAGAUCCGCCCCGUUUGCAUCUCUCCUCCUCCACGUCUUCGCACUCCUGCACCUUCGCGAGCUUCUCGUUCUCUUCACCACCUGGGUUCAGCAUCAAAUUCAAUUGAAUUAAAAGAAAAUGGAGCCGGACGUGAGCAUGGAGACGAUGUCGACGAUCCGGAUCGCGGUGGUGGCGGUGGGGGGGGCGAUCCCGGCGGGGCGGCUGCGGGAGUACGCGGCGGCGGUGGGGCGGCACGCGCGGGUGGAGCUGUCGGCGCUGGCGUCGUUCUACUCGGAGCAGCAGAAGAGCCCCUUCGCGCACCAGCCCUGGGACUCCGGCGCCCUCCGCCUGCGCUUCGUCCUCGGCGGCUCCCCUCCCUCCCCCUGGGAGGACUUCCAGUCCCACCGCAAGAUCCUCGCCGUCCUCGCCCUCUGCCACUGCCCCGCCUCCCCCGACCUCGACAUCGUCGCCCACCACUUCGCCGCCGCCUGCAGGCCCUACCCCCACGCCCUCGCCCGCCGCUGCUUCGCCUUCUUCCCCUCCGACGCCCAGGUCCCAUCCCAUCCCACCCCCAUUCCGUUGAAUUUAGGGUUUGAUUUUAGCUUGAUCUGAUCUGAUCUGAUCUGAUUGAAUUUAGGAUCGAUUUAGUGAAUUUUCGAUUUUUUUGUCAAGAAUUUUGAUGGGGUAAAUUCAAGUUUAGAGUUUGAUUUAGCACCCUUCUGGUUUUGAUUCCGCUUGAUCUGAUCUGAUCGAAUUUAGGUUUUGAUUUUAAUUUGUUUGUGUAGAAAAAAAAAUCAAAAUUAGAUUUAGGAAUGACAUUUUGUUGUUGUUGUUGUUGUUGUUGUUGUUGUUGUUGUUGUUGUAUGCUGUUAGGUGCCUCUGAUUGGAUUUAGGGCUGGAAGCUAGCUUUUUUUCUUUUUUUCUUUUUGACUCAACUUGACCUGAUCUGAUUGAAUUUAGGUUUUGAUUUUUAGUGCCUUUUCUAUUUUUGAAAGAAAAGAUUGAUUGGGUCAUGUAGUUCAGAAUUUAGAUCCCGCUAUGCACUCUACUUUCUAGCAACAGCUGCGGAGCAAAUCUGUUGAAGGAAUUUUAACUGUGAUCUGAUCGUAUCUAGUGUCAAUUUAGUGCUUUUAGAAUUUUGAUCUAGGUAUGCACCAUUUGUUGUUUUAUCUUGUUAUGUGCCUAUUUUUGGUUCUGCUUCUGCUUCUACGUUUUGCAACAGAUACCUUCGAGUAAAGUGAUUGUUGGUAAACAGAAAACUUUGGUGCUUCUAUAACAGCAGCGACUAGGAAUGAGAUUUUUCGGCACAAAAUCAGAAGAAAUGAGAUUCUGAAGCGCAGAAUCGGAAGCUAGACCUAGUGUUGGCUUCUGGCUUCUCGAUCUGAUCGAAUUGGUGGGAUUGGGUAGUUAGAUUUAGAGUUCAGAUCCAGGCGUCCGAUUUUUUUGUUUUAUGUUGUUGAUUGUUGUUAUGUGCCUCUUCGGUUCUGCUUCUACUUCUACUUUUAGCAAUAGUUACUUCCGGGUAGAGCAUUAGCUAAACAUAAAAGUUCAUUGCUUCAAUUACAGUGGUAAUAAAAAAAGUGAUGUUGUGAUUGAGAUUAGUGUUAAUUUAGUGCUUUUCUUUUUUUUGGAAGAAUUGACGGAGUUGGUUAGUUUUAGAAUUUAAAACCACCUAUAUGCACUUAAUCGGUGCAUCUUUCUUGGAAGUUAGAAUUUAGAUCCAGCUAUGCACUCAGUCUUGACCAAAGCAUCUGUUUUGGUGGAAUGGGGUUGGUUUUGACUUCAACUUGGAAUCUUAGUUAUGACAUGCAUCGCUUGUCUCAGAAAGCAAGCUCAUAGUAUAACUUGGAAACAGAUACUGUAAUGCUUUUAUUGUCAGUUUGUUGCUUAUUGUGCUGUCGUUGCUGUUAGUUUAUCUAUCGCAAGAAUUAUCUGUUCUUGUUUGAUCUUCAAAACUCUCUUAGUGCUUCUUCACUGCAAAAUUUGUCUAUUUCAACUCAUUAUUUUUGUCUGUUUCAUGAUUUCUGUGACAGUUAAGGGAGGAGAAAAGAGAUGAUAUUGUAUUAUUUCCUCCUUCGGAUGUGCAAAAGAUGGAAUUUCACAUGCUCACGAUGGUGCAAGAUCUCGCUGCUUCAUUGUUGAUGGAGUUUGAAAAAUGCGUUCUUCGUACAGAAUCUGCAGGGACGAUUUUAAAGACACCUUUGGACUCGCAAUCCAGCCUUGGUUCAGAGGAGGUUUAUUCUUAGGUGUUCUAAGAAAUUAUGCAAUUGCACUUGUGGCUUCUAGAAGCUUUUGAAGUUACACACGACUUCUCUUCUCUUCUAAAUAUUCUUCAUCUUACGAAACUGUAGGUCAUUAAGGCAAAAAAACGAAGGCUUGGUCGCGCACAAAAAACAAUUGGGGACUACUGUUUGUUGGCUGGGUCACCUGUUGAUGCUAACGCACAUUAUUCCACGGCAAUAGAGCUUGCGAGAUUGACAGGAGAUGUAUUCUGGCAUGCAGGGGCAUUGGAGGGUAGCGUUUGCGCGUUGCUAGUAAGCAUACUCUUUAAUAUAACUGCAUGAGGUUAUAGAUGGUUGUACAUUGAAAAUAAAACUUUCGAGUAAAAGAAUUGCAACUGAUGACUGAUGCAAGUGGACUUUCUGUUUUAUUUUCUUUCCCCUCCUCCUCUUAUUGACUUUCUGCUGAGGUUUUCUUUACAUGUUAGGUGUUGAGAUCUCCAUACUGCUUGUUGAGCUUAGUUUAACAAAAAUGAAAUGACCUUAAGGUCUUAUAUAUGUGUAGGUAGACCGCACAGGUGGAAGAGACCCUAUUCUAGAGGAGGAGGUGAAAUAUCGUUAUUACACUGUCAUCCAGCUAUAUAGAAGAGCUUUCAUACAGGAUAAUGCUCAAAGGUGCUGCUGUCUAGUUUGCUGUUUCUCCAGCUCAAGACGAGAACUUUCUACCAUAUGUUGUAGCUUUUUGCAAAAUUUCAUCUGAUUUCUUCUAUAUUUCUUUCUGGAACUAAAUGUCGUUUUACUAAUCUGAUCUGAUGCGAUCUUUUGACCUUUACAGGGUUUCAACUGUGAGCUUUGAACUCGAGGCUGCAUUGAAGUUGGCUAGAUACCUUUGCCGGUAAGUUAACUUACAUCUAUAUUAAGCUUUUGCAAUUACCAAUUUAAUUUUUCAUCAGAAUUUCAGACUUUGUGUAAAUUUUCUCCAAAGCUGACUUUUGAAUUCCUGUGAGAAUUCGGUUCUGCAAAUAUAAGUUCUUCUUAAAAAUAUUAAUUGAACUUGAACAUAUUAAGUCUCGGUCAUCAUCAUAUCCAGGAGAAGUUUUAGGCUUUUGUUUAUCAUUCCUAGUAAGUCUUCUAAGUUUAACCUUAGGCAAUAUGGACUAUGAAUUAUUGUGUGGAAAUAGCUUAAGCAUUUGGUGGUCGUUUGAGUGAUACUUCAGUAAUCUUUUAUCUCCUUCAUUCUUUAUAGUAUAAAUUUGGAUCCAACUUUGCAAUCCACAUAUUAUGAUUGUUUUUACUGGUUGAAGCAGAUUUAUAUCAUCAUUUUCUCGAAUAUGUUUGAUCUUCAAAGUGACCUAAAGACUUAGAUGGUAUAGAAAUUUAAGCAGUUCUGCCUUAUGUUGUCAGAACUGAACUUGCUAAGGAGGUUGUUGAACUGCUGAUGGGGGCUGCAGAUGGUGCGAAGUCUCUUGUUGAUGCCAACGAUCGUUUGAUAUUAUAUGUUGAAAUAGCAAGACUGUUUGGAACACUAGGUUAUCAACGUAAAGCAGCCUUUUUCUCGCGCCAAGUUGCCCAGCUGUACUUGCAGCAGGAUAGUGCCAGCGCUGCUAUCAGCGCCAUGCAAGUUUUGACCAUGACCACAAAUGCUUAUCAUGUUCAAAGUAGGAGGACGAACCCGAAACUACAUGCUCCAGCCCAAGUAAGCUGUUUUUUUUUUUUCCUUUUCCUUUUUUCUUCUUUUGGACAACCCUUAUGGGUUUGAAGCAGGUUGCCUACUAGCUCUUUAAUGCAUUUUACUAUUUAGUCGCUAGGUUCUAGGGUAUAUAUGCUCGUUAGACUUUGACAGGAAUAUACUGACCUUGAACACUUUAUUCGCAAAUCCUCACAAUACUUAGUUUUGUACAUAAUACUAUCAGAAACUUUGAUGAAGGUUUAAGAAGACAAUUGAGGUUGUGCACUGCGAAUCUUGAUUAUCAUUUCAUCUAAAAGCCAGGCUUCUGUUAAUUAUCUCAUUCAAUCUGUACAUAAGACUGUUGGAAGAAUAGCCAAAAACAAGGAAGAGUUACGAAAUAAGGCUGCUCUAUAUACGCUGAGUUUUAAAAUAAAAAACUUUACAAUAAAACAUAUACUCUGCAUGAACUUUAUUCUCGUCAGUGUAUGUGCUUGAAUUUUUUGAACAGCUGACUGAUAAAAUAUUGUAUGCUUUAACAAUUUCUUUCUUCAUAUUAUUUCUCCUUUGUUGUAGAUUAGAUAACCGUCAUGUAGUUGAUUUGUUCCUAUGCUUCUUAAAGGAACUCGGUACAAGUCAUGGUGAUGGGAAGAAAAUGCAGCCUCAAUCGGUUGUCUCCUUAUUUGAAUCGCAAUGGAGUUCCCUGCAAAUGGUUUUGUUGAGAGAAAUUCUCGUGUCCUCUGUCCGUGCUGGAGAUCCUCUUUCAGCUUGGAGUGCGGCAGCUCGUCUACUCAGAUCAUUUUACCCACUUAUCACACCAGCGGGUCAGAGUGGUCUGGCGAGCUCGCUUGCCAAUUCUGCAGAUAGGCUUCCUGUGGGCACGCGCUGUGCUGAUCCUGCCCUUCCUUUUAUCAGGCAUCUUUCCUAAUCUUUCUAACGACAAAACUAUGGUCCUUGUUUGUGUGUUGUUUACGAUGCCAAUACAUUCUUCAUUUAGCAUUAUCACAACAUAUAUUAUGCAUGCCAAAUGCCUCCUGUUGUCGUACUCUUUCAAUGCCCUUAAUUGAUAUCAUCUAUUCCUGAAACUAUGAAUUGUUUCUACACUUUCAAUCUAUUAUACCUUGUCUAUCCUAACACCUGCAAUAAGUUGUACUACACCCAGUGAAAUUUCCUCGUUGGCGUAACUUAAUACUCGUCAGAGGAUCCUGCCCUUCACAAUCCCAUUGUUAUUUCUAUUAAAUAGGAUACAUUAGUACUGAUCUGAUGAGUGCCUUAUUCAAUAAUUCGCUAGCCUGCAAUUGAUUGGUCGUGUCCACAUGUUAAACUCUUUGACAGAUCUUGCUGAUAGAGUAUAUACUGCAGCCAUUCUUUUGACAAUGUUGAAAAUUUUAAAUACACUAAAUACUAGUCGUGUUCUAUCAGGUUGCAUUCGUUUCCUCUCCACCCAUCACAAAUGGAUAUAAUAAAGCGUAAUCCACUGAAAAAGGAAUGGUGGACUGGGUCAGCUCCUUCUGGGCCGUUCAUCUAUACACCAUUCAGCAAGGGAGGUACAACAGAUAACAGUAAAGAAGAGAUAACUUGGGUUGUGGGCGAACCAGUUCAGGUCUUGGUUGAAUUGGCUAAUCCGUGUAGCUUCGACCUGGUUGUCGAAAGUAUUUACCUAUCUGUUCACUCUGGAAACUUUGAUGCCUUCCCCGUGAGUGUAAAUCUUCCACCUAAUACAGCCAAGGUGAUUUUACUGUCUGGAAUUCCAACAAAAGUUGGACCGAUUUCCAUUCCGGGGUGCAUUGUUCAUUGCUUCGGUGUCAUCACUGAACACCUAUUUAGGGACGUCGAUAACUUGCUCCUUGGGGCCGCACAAGGUCUCGUCCUUUCUGAUCCAUUCAGAUGCUGUGGCUCUGGCAAGUUAAAGAAUGUGUCUUUUCCCAAUAUCUCCGUAGUUCCUCCUCUACCUUUGCUGGUCUCCCAUGUGGUUGGUGGGAACAGUUCGACCAUUCUUUAUGAAGGUGAAAUUCGUGAUAUUAGGAUCUGCCUGACGAACGCGGGUACCGUACCAGUUGAACAAGCACAUAUCACGCUAUCCGGGAAAAAUCAAGAUUCGGUUAUUUCAAUGGCACACGACAAGUUGACGUCGGCUCUGCCUCUCAAACCAGGUGGGGAGGUGACUUUCACUGUGACUUUGAAGGCAUGGCAGCUUAGUUUGGCGGAUUCUGAGGUCGAUGCUAGCAGGAAUUCUUCUAGUAGUGCACGAAGAAUAUCGAAGGAAGGAAGCAGCCCACUCCUGGCUAUUUAUUAUGCUGGUAAGAACAUUACCUGGUACUACUACUAUAACUUUUUUUUUCCCCUUAAACUCCGCUGUUCUUUAGUUUCUGUUUGAACACUUGAACAUUUUGCAAUCUAUGAUGCUUAGAUUUUUGUCCAUCAAAUUUGAUAAUUUGUACAAGGUUGACGCUUUGUAUUUUAUCAUCCUAGGUCCAUCUACAAACUCCGAUGAAUCUGAAAACAAGGAAGCUUCUGUGCCACCAGGAAGGCGCUUGGUUCUUCCACUGAAUGUCUGCGUUCUACAGGGCUUGCGUUUUGUAAAGGCUCGUUUGCUCUCAAUGGAAAUUCCUGCUCAUGUUUCUGAUUCCUUUCCUAAACCUACCAAUAUUAAUCAGAGUUCAACUGAAGAAGACGACGAUGUGCAAGAUAAAGAUGGUAGCUUAGUAAAGAUCGACCCAUACAAAGGAUGCUGGGGAAUCCGCCUUCUUGAGCUCGAGCUGUCUAAUCCAACUGAUGUGGUUUUCGAGGUUAAUGUGUCAGUUCAGCUGGAUAAUCCAACCGACGAGCAUACACCAGUACGUGACUAUGAAAGUGCUGAUAUCAGGUACAGGAAGACGAGAAUUGAUCGUGAAUACUCUGCACGAGUUCUGAUACCAUUGGAAAACUUCAAACUUCCUGUUCUUGAUGGUUCCGUCUUCCUAAAGGACUCCCAAACUGAUGAAUCUGCCGGAAAUAAAGCAUUUAGUGUAACUGAAAGGAAUGCCAAGGCUGAGUUGAAUGCUUCGAUCAACAACUUAAUCUCGAAAAUUAAAGUGCAGUGGCAGUCCGGAAGAAACAGCUCGGGGGAAUUGAAUAUCAAAGAGGCCACUCAGGCGGCGCUGCAAGCGUCAGUGAUGGACAUAUUAUUGCCUGAUCCUCUAACCUUUGGCUUCAGGAUCGCAAACACCUCGGUUGAAAUUGGCGAGUUGGGCGAUCAGAGCUCUAAGAACCCUAUCGCGGCUCACGAAAUGACUCAGAUGGAAGUUCUGAUCCGGAACAAUACGAAAGAAACGAUUGAAAUGAGCCUUAAUGUUACAUGCAAAGAUGUCGCUGGCGAGAAUUGCUUCGAGGGAAAUAGCGCUACCGUCCUUUGGGCUGGUAUGAUCCCUGUUCUUUUUGCUGACUUUCGUUGCGCUUAUUGCAUGCGAAUCGCGUAAUUUAUGUGUUCUUACAAUUCCUUUUUUCUCCUGUAGGUGUACUCGGUGACAUCAAUCUGAAGGUUCCACCGCUCGAGGAAGUGGCGCAUUCCUUCUCGCUCUACUUUCUAGUCCCAGGAGAUUAUACGCUCCAAGCAGCUGCCGGCAUAACCAAUGCAACGGAUGUCCUCCGCGCUCGGGCGAGGGCGGACUCGGCGGAGGAGCCAAUCUUCUGCCGUGGCUCCCCCUUCCACGUCCGCGUUACCGGAACGGCUUAGGAUUCCUCCAGUUUCAGCAUGUUUGAGUUACAGACAAAUGUUAUUCCAAGUAUAUUCCUGCAGCUGUAGUUGUAAAUUUGUUCUGUAUUCUUUCCAUCGACGAGAUUGAGCUACUCAACAGAUUGCAUCUGCUACGCGGCCGCUUCUUUUUUUUUUUUGGUAAUUUGUUCACCCGAAUAAAGAUCAUGGUUACCAUUAUCCAUUGCGUAUGUUUCUUAGAUUUCGUUUGGGAUUGUGGAGAGAUUGUGUUACAUACGGUGAGAAUACGAUAGAAAAAUAUUCUGUUUGUCGAAGUAUAUUCUUAUAUACUUUUAUCCUAUUUUUAUUUUAUCUAAUUACAUCUUUAGGAUCUUAAUACCAAAUUAAGCUUUACACCAAAUUAAGCUUUACUCGAGACGUGUAGCAUCAAACUGACUAUCUUAUGCCUAUGCUAAGAUAGAUUGGUUGCAACUGUAUUUUAACUUUAUUACUUAACUUUAUUACUUAAUCAAUUACAUAUUAUUAAAAAAUUAAUUUGCUUUAAUUAUUUCUUGAACACAAACUUUUACAACUUAUAAUGUAUGACCGAAGCAUUAAAUCCCAAAUCUUUAAACCAUAUUCUCUGCUCGGAUGUCGAGAAUACCAUAAUAACCAAUAAAAAGAUACCUAAAACUACAAAAAUAUAUCACUAGUUCACAAAUAUUAAAGAAGCGUAAGAGAUGGCAUCCAUGUUUCACAGAGAAAUCCGGAUUCAAAUUACUAACCCAGCUAUUAUCGAAGGUAUGAGAUUUCAACAAUACAAUUACAUACAUAAACAAGCUUUUAUGAAUCUACCAUAGCAAGAUAAAACAGAAUAAACUUCCCAGUCCAAGAAAAAUGGCAUUUUUUUUUUUGUUUAAUCUCCACUUCCAAAUAACAACUAGACCAGGUAAUCAUUUGGACACAAUAGAAUGAAACAAAAAAAAAAAAAAGCACACAUAUAAACUAGCUUAUAGCAUACAGAAUAAGCUUUCCAAAAUUUAUCUAAAAAAAGAAACAUGGAAUUAUUACUAUAUAUAUUUACAACCGCAACUGUAAAUCCUCUGGAAACCUUUUGAUGGUAGUAGUAGUAAGAGUCAUGGAACAUACUGAUAGAACAUAUUGAUGAUAGAAGCGAGAAGUACAAACAUCUCUCAAUCAUUUUUGUGCUUGAGCUUGUCCCUUUUGGGAAAGGGAAGCCCCCAUAGAACGCAACCUGUUGGCAAUCUCCGUGAAGCUCGGCCUCUCGGACGGUUCGGACAACCAGCACUGCUCCAUCAGCGACCUCCAGUCACGAUCACACGAAUCGGGUACCGGAGGCCGUAGAGUGUUGCUCACUAUUCCACCUAUUUUGGAAUGAAUUAACUUUUCAGUAUGAGGGCUGUAUAGAAACUCGAGAAGUUCACGGGUAUCGAAAAAUCCUAAUAAGAGAUUAGAUGAAGGAGAUCUUCAAAUGCCCUAAUCCCUUUGUAUUAGGUUUGAUUCCACUUCACCCCCUUAUGGUUGCUGUUAUGAUUGCCACCAACGACAUUAUGUUAAAAGUCAUCGCAAAUUGAGCAUGUGGCACUCAUAUCGCUGUUUAAAACUGUAGAAAUAAAGAUGUAAUUGGUUAAUCUUGUUAAUCCUCAUUUGCACGGAUUUAAUGAGUCACGUGGAUUAAACCGGAGGGUGGUCAAGCGUUAUCAUCUGAAUCACUGGGACCAGGAGUUACGAGUAAAAUCAAACUAUACCACAACUAUACCACAACGAGGGUAUCUGAAGUUUUUCCCAUAAAAGAACACUUAUGAUAGCUCCGCAGUGCAAAUCAGCAUAAGGAAAUACCUAUGAUAGCUCCAUAGUGCAAAUCAGCAUAAGGUUCAUCUCCAGUAAGCAGUUCCCACAUCACAAUUCCAAAGGAGUAAACAUCGACCUAAGAUUACAUGCAUAAAGAUAGGAUAAGAUAAGCCAAAUAAAAUAAUGAAAAUAAAAAAAGAAAUCUAUCUCAACUGAGAUUAUUUGAGCUAACCUUUUCAGAGACAAGACUACUACUGCCAUUUAGAAGCUCCGGAGCCAUCCAGGGCAGAGUUCCCCGCACUCCACCGGAUAUUAGGGUUUGGCGUUUAACUUUUGAAAGGCCCAGAUCACCAACCUGCAGAGGAGAAAGAAGCAGAUAAAGUAAAAAAAAAAAAAAGGCUACUUCACACGGAAAACUUAGUGACGUACUACUAUUACUACAACUAGUACUACUACGAUUUCAUAACUCGUGUUGAUAGCACAGAGCGCCGGAUGGAGCAGCUAAAGAAUACAAAAUGCUCAAACGUAAAUCCCUAUACUCUUGGUAAAUACGGUAAGAUAUUGCAAAAACAAGCACAAUACGCAAACAUCACACGGUAUACUUAAUUUGUAAGUAGUGUCUGGUGCUUUUAGGAAGGCAGGAAGGAAGAUGGCUCACAUAAUCAGUUUAGAAGCACAAGAUAGCAGAUAAGCCAGAAUAUUACGCGACAAACAUAAAUAAGUAGACAUUCAUGUAUAACAAAAGGUUUUUCCAAUCUUGCAUGACUAGGAAUUUCCAUAUUUUACGCUACCAACAGUAAAGCAGCAUUUUCCACUCCAUAUGCAGUAAAUCUUAGGACUGAAUAAUAGCAAGCUAUUUACCUAAUUUAAUCUGAAAACAAUGGCGGUGCAACUUAAUUUUUGACAGCAUCGUACCUAUAUAAACAAUCAACAAACCACACUGUUUUUAUCUUAAACACAUGCUCUCUUUCAUAACAUUUGCAUAGAAAUCUAUAAAUCUGAUGGUUGUUGAGAUAGUCUACUCUAGAACAUUCUCCUUCAUCUUUGAACUCUACCAUCUUAGAAAGAGAGGCUUGGCCAUCUCGACUGGACAAGCACUAAUAAUCCCAUAUACGAGCAGUGAAGCAGACCCACGUAUUAGCAUGCAUCGGUCUAUACUAAGCAAAGGACAUUAACCGACAUCAUUUGUAAUAUUAAUUUAGUGAAAGAGGAAGUAACUAAGUAUUUAUUGAUAUGUAGGAAUACUUGCUACUUUAUCAGAACCUUCCAGAUAAUAAAUGGAAGCAAGACAACAUGUAAUGGAAAUCAUACAAGAAUAAAAUUCACACUUAUUGCAAGCCGUAAGCACCAUGUAGUACGAGAAUAAGAGUUUCAAUAGAAAUCAUACAAGAAUAAAGUUCACGCUUAUUACAAGCCGUAAGCACGAAGUAGUAAGAGUAAAAGUACUGAAACUCGAUAGCCAUAAAUGCUCUUCAUUAAAGGCAAAAUCUAACUCACCCAAGGAGACUGGAGAGAUAGGAUUUUGACAGCUAAUUUAUCCAUAUAUAUUUUAAUUAAUCACAUAAAAGAGAAGCAUUUCGAUUUUCUGGUGAGUAGCAAGCUCCAUGGUGUCUAUGAAAGCACAUCAAUUUGAUGAGAGCUACAAACAUAACUUUAUCUCCACUAAUACCAAAAAUGGCAAACCAGCGCAAAAAACUACUGUUAAAGGAUCCAAGGAGGCUAAAAUAUAUGCAGCUGUUUCCCCUGAUUCUGAGAGACUUUCCACAACACACCCCCACACAGUACAACCUUAUAAUUUGCCAAGGCUCACCACAGGAAAAAAAAAAAAAAAAUCAAAAUAGUUAUAAAUAUUAUGAGAAUAGCUAGAAGCACUUUUCUUCCUGAAAAAGAUCCUUCAAGAAACCAUUUUCCAUAUAACCAGAGUAAAGUACCUUGCAAAUUGGACGUUGAGGAUCCCGUAAAUUGACAAGUAAAUUAUCGCUUUUCAAGUCAAAGUGCACAAUAUUCUUUCCAUGCAAGUAUUCCAUCCCAAAUGCUACAUCCAUUGCAAUAAGGAGGCGUUUACGACGAUCUAGUAUCCUGCAGACAAAAGUUAAAUCAACACUUAAAGGAUCAAAAUAGGUCAACAGGUUUAAAAGCGAUGAAAAUAAAGAUAUACUUGUCAUUUCUUUGCAAAGCCUGUCGAAGAGAACCAUUGACCAUGUACUCCGUCACUGUUGCAACAGCUCCCUCUGGGCCGUCAAGAACAACACCAUAAAAAGCUACUACAUUUGGAUGGUGCAAGUCUGCAAGUUUGGAAGCUUCGUUCCAAAAAUCAGCCCUCUGAAAUACAUAUGGGCACGAUCAGAAAAAGAAGAAGCACAAGGAAAAAUCUAAUGGCAUCAGCUACAGACCAUGCGCUCUUGCUCUGAUGCCUUCCCAGAAAAGCAUCUAUCAUUGAUUCUUUUUAUUGCGACAUCUGAUCCUCUCCAUUUCCCAUGAUAGACGGUGCCGAAAUUUCCAGAACCUAGCUCCCGCAAUACUUCAAGAUCACUAUUUUUUAUUAUCUACAAAGAUGAGAAGAAAAAGAAACUGUAAGCUCUCUACAUACAGGCUGACAAGUACAAAGUAGCAUUUGUUAAUAUAUGCCAGUUUACAACCUGAAGGCGGCCGAUGUCAUCCGAAAUAGGAAUGCCAGGGCUGGUCUUAUCUAAUUGAUUACCCUUAGUGUUCUGAAUCAAGAUAAAUAAUUAGUAUCAAUCAAGAACCGGUAUAUGAAAUAGUAGAGAAGAAUAGUAGGGUUUCGUCACCUCAGAUUUUGGAUCAACUAUGCCCCGUCCUGAAUCUAUAUUAUCCUCAACAAUUAUUGGAUUCUUGUCAGGAACAGCAGUGGCUUUAUUAGUUUCUCGAGGAUAGAAACUAGGAUCAGAAGGUACAGGCGACUGAAGUACUGACGCUGCUACACCUUCAGCGACAGCUUGCAGUUGUUGUCUGACGCGCUCUUCUCCCGAGCCUUUCAGAAAAGAAUAAAGAAAAAAGAGGAGGAGGUGCAGAUUAUUAAUCAUAACAAUCAAAAAGUAAAUCCUAUUACCAACCAAGAAAGAGGAAAACAAGAACGUAGACCAACCUUCUGUGACUUGAACAAGAUCUUUGGUGGAAUCCUUGUUAGGAAAGUCUGAAAUAUGUGGAACGUUGCCUUCUUCUAAGAGAGAAACUAUAUUUGAUCCAUUACAAGUACCCAAAUGGUUUUCUGCGUAUGAAUCCUUUGCCACAAUGGGCUCCUUAUUAGCCAAUAUACUGGGUUUUGGAGGUGGCAAGUGUGUACUCUCUAGAACUUUCCACGGGUCUUGGUUGGAGAAGAGAGAGUUCGAGGAAUUGGAUUCCUGGAAAGUACUUAUAGGCUCUGUAGGAAUAGUAGAACUCAUCCCUGGAAAUUGAGCAUUUCCACUAGAAGGGACAGCAAAGUUAUUAAACAACUCGCCUGGAUGCAACUUAGGAGCCUCAUCUUUCUGAUCCGGCAUGGCAACCAGAUUGGUACCGCUAUAUAGAGGAGCAUUAACACCAGCAUAUACAGGCCUAACAAGGAGCCUCUCUUUAGGAGCUGACGGGUCAAUGCCAACUCCAAGAUUGUUAGGGAACGGUCCCUGGUUUCCAAUCAAAAUUGUUUCUUGCUGCAUGCUGGGCUGAACACUUUGCAUGCCGGUGACUUCAAAGGUGACAGGCGGCCAUUGUUCGACAGGUUUAACAUAAUUUUCUGGAGAAAUGAAUGCCGAACUCACAUUAGGAUCACCAGUUAAUGUAGCAUGCCCUCCAACUUGAGGUCUCACUGUAUAACUAGUCUCUGAAACAAGAGGAGAACUGUCGACUUUUCCAUCAGAGGCAAAGCCAGAAGGAGCAAGCCUAUGAGAUUCAGAAUUUCCAGCAUGACCCAAAUGAAGAGCCUGUAUUCUUCCAUCAACAGCUUGAACAUAUCUAAUCGGGAAUUGAGCGACAUGAUCUUGUAUGGGAUCUGAUGGCUGGAAAUUCACAUUCUUUACUUGACUAGCAUCAACACCAGGCUGCUUAGAAAAGACUCCCUGCUUAACCCCGUAAUCGUAAUGCAAUUGAACAGGCUGCAAAGUCUGCCAGUGCUGUUGGUAAGAAUUCUCACCAUGAGACUCUAGAAUAUUGCUUAAAAAUGCUCCAUUGCUAGUCACAACCUGGUGAAUCAAAACCCUAGAAGGGUCGACAGUCUCUGAGCCCUGAACAGCCGGCCUCAUGCUGACAUGUGUUUCUGGGUUCUGAGAGAAUGCAUAAACCCCUAAUUGAGAUGCCGGUAUGGCACUCGCAAUUCUUGGUUCUCCCACCUUAGAACCCACAGCUCCACCCAAGUUGGGACCGCGUUUUGGAUCCUCUGAACGUUGACUGUAGAACACCGGGCUGGGUUCAGUGGUGCUGCUCGGAGAUGAACCCCCCUGUAUCAUUGUUUCCGAAUGGACAUGCGGCAGCGCCUUUUGACACAUAGCGCAAUCAUCAUACUUCAAUGUCGCAGAAUUUGCCGGGGGCGGCGGCACGCCCUGCUGCAUUCCAUAGUUCUCGGUAUUCUGCUGCUGAAGGUAUGCGGGAGGUAAAGGCGGGAACUGCGAAAGUGGCUGCAAAGCCUUAUGACUCUGAUCAGUAGAAGGCUGAACAGGCCUUCCCCCAUAUGGGUUUUCUGCAGCAUAUUCCACCCGAGCCUGGGCCGGCUUCAAAUUACCAACUUGAGAAGCCGGCAUAGCUGCAGUGAUCGGAACCCUGCCAGACAUGUAUGGAUUCAUCUGUACAGGGACUACAUGUACAGGUUGAGCCCCACCUCCAAUCCCCAUUUGCUGGGGAUUAACAUACUGAACUUGAUGAGGAUCUACAUAAGCUUGAUGAACAGGAAAACUAGGCUGAUCCUGCCAAACCAAACUAGGAUUUUGAACAGGAAAACUAGUUCCUAGGCCGGAAGCAUUACCGCCAAAGUACCCCCCGGAGCUAUCCACAAAUGCGACGGGAUUGGAUCCGCCGCCGCCGCCCCCCACAUACGCCAUCUUCAGCGCCUCAUCGGAGGCAGCAACAGUAGGAGAGCGAAGAGAGGGCGAGGACACACCUUCGAUGUUUCCGUCGGCGGCCUCGCCUGCGACUGCGCCGUCCGAAUUCUGCGUGGAGGACGCCGCACUCGCGACGCUCUCCUUCCUCCGCACAGCACCCCCAGCUGCAUCCGGCGCCGCGGCGACUCCGUUCACAGCUUCGAUGUACCGCUGGCUCGUCUCGUCGGCGCCGCCGAGGUGGGCGCCGGGAUCGGCGGCGGCGUCGGCGGGGGUGAAGAGGAAGACGCGGAGCUUCGCGGAUCCGUCGGGCGCCGCGGCGGCCACCUUGUCGUGCUCCUCAAUCAUGUUCUCCAGGUCCUCGGCGCACGACACCGAAACGAGCGCGUCGAGGUCCUCGCCGGGGAGCUGGUACUUCACGGCGACGGCCCCCGCGUCGUCGGGCUCCCCGUCCUCGUUCCCCCGCACCACCCCCGCCAUUUUCCUCAUGAAAUCGGCGAAGGAGACGUCCUUGGCGACGGAGAUGAGCCGCGUGUGGCCGCACACGUAGCGGAGCGCGCCGUCGCUCGGCCGCGGCAGGAUCCGGCCGCCGUAUCCGCACAGGAGCUUCACCUUCGCCGCCGCCCCCGCCCGUAGAGGUUCGUCGGCGGCGUCCCCUCCUCCUCCUCCUCCUUCCCCUCCCCCUCCACCGACGCCGCCCCAGGGAGGGGGAGGGAUCAAGGACUCGGCGGGGGAGGCGCCAGGGACGAAGACGCGGGAGAAGGGGCCGGUGGCGGGGGGAUCGGAGGGGGAGGAGACGGGGAGCGCCGUACGAUUGAGGAUGGAAGCGGCGCGGAGUUCCUUGGGGAGGGAGUUGGGAUCGAUCGCCAUUGGAGGAGGGGGGAUCGAGCUCGCGCUAGAGUUUUGGGGAGAAGGGUUCGGGAGAAACCCUAGAUGAGGAGAGAGGGAGAGAGAGAGAGAGAGAGAGAGAGAGAGAGAGGAGGCGAAGAAGACGAAGAGCGAAGUAAACAGAAUGAGCGAAGUACCUGGGAGUAGCAGGCGAGGACGUUGGGAAAUAAAUAAAUAAAUAAAUAAAAUUAUAAAUAAAUAAAACAUUAAAAUUUAAUAAAUAAAUGAAUAAUAAAUGGAUAAAAUGAGGAUUUUGUCGUUUUUACACAAAAAUGAUAAAUAUUUCGUUAUUUACUUCUUUACAAAGUUAAAAAUAUAUGGAGAGCCCCUUACCUAUGUGAACUUUCCACAUAGAGCACUCAAUUUUUGUUUUUCUUGUGAAUUUCUUUUUAUUUUUUUAAGAUUUUAGUAGUAUUAGGUGAAAAUUUGAGGAUUUUAUCAAAUUUAAUAACUUAAAUUAUUUUUGAUAAAUAAAAUUAGAAUGAUUAAUAGUUAUUUACCAAUAAAGUCACAAUUUUAAUUCAGCCAUAUAUAAAAAUUAAAUAAGAAGGUAAAAGGUAAAAGCCUAUAGCUGCGGGGGUUACAUACAUUUUUACCAUCCAAAAAUUAUAAGUUAGGAGAUUUUAAUAAAAAAGUAAAAGUUUGAGGACUGUUUUUAAAAUUUUUAUUGUUGAGGUGCUUCCUUACAUUUUCAUGAAAAAACAAAGAGAGAAACGUAUGUCGACUUUGGGAAAGGCGGUGGAGUCAAAGAGAAACUGAAAUUCAAAAAUGCUUUUCCUCUUUUUUAUUACUUAGUAUAUUUUUUUAAUUUUUUCUAUUUUUGUAAAGGGUAAAAAAAAAGAAUUUGUAAAAGACUUAGAAAAUAAUUUUAAAAUAGACUUAAUCCGUCUCGAAUUGGGCGGUAUAUAGUAACCAAAACUAUAAAAAAAAAUAAUAUGUUCUGAAUCCGUUCUCAUUCGCCUUUUUAUUAUUUUGAUUCUUCUCAAUCUGUUAAAAUUUCAUCAAAAAAAAAAUUUACUCUCAUUUUGAUCCACCGUAAAUGAAAUGAUAAGAGAGAACUCGCUAAGAAAAUAGGAUAGAAAGUGAUAACUAAGGACUAAUAAUAAUAAUAAAAAACUUCAAAUACCACUCCUGUGGUUUUACACUUUCUCACUUUAGUACCAUGUAGUAAAGUGCAUCAAUUUAAUGUCUCGUGGUUUUAUUUUUAUCUUUUCAUUAUUAAUAUCACUAAUUUUUUUCGUUAAAUCGGUGAUAAAGUUAAAACUAAAAUGUGCUAAAAUGAAUAUUCUAUAAAUUUAGGUAGAGUAUCUGAAGUUUUUUGUAUAUAAUUUAACGAAAUAUUAACGGAGAAGCUGACGAAAAGAUAAAAAUAAAACCAUACAACACUAACUUGAUACACUUUAAACCACAGAGUACUAAAGUGAAAAAGUGCGAAACUACAGAAAUGGUAUCUGAAAUUUACCCUUAAUUUUAUAAAAUAUAGAGAUUAUAAAUGAAGAACACAUUAGCAUCUUUGGAUGCCAAAAUGGAAUAAAAAUCUUUUUUUUUUUUGUUUAAGGAAAAAAAAAAGAAAAAAAAAAACAAGCAAAGUGAUUAUCACAAAGAUGUGGACUACACACUACAUCAAGCUUCUAGUGUAAGGAAUGUUCCCAUAAAUAGUAGUCACAAAAUGCCAAAAAUGUAUGGUGACCCGGUCAAAUAUAGGACAUUUUGAAAUUACCCCCUAAACUUUAAACUUUUUUUUUAAUUAAAUUUAGUCCCAAAAAAAGUAAAAAAUUCAUCAAACUUGUUUAUGGCUUUAUCAAAUUUAAUGGUUUUAAUUUUCUUGUAGCAUAUAAAAUAGAAAUUGUUAAUGAUUAGUAGCUAAUAGAAUAUAAAUUUUUAACCAAAUAUUCAACUAACAUUAUCAAAAUAAGUCAAUUAUAAAAAAAUUAGAAGUUCAGAAACUCUAAAUCAAAAAAAUGAUAAAGGCCAAUUGGUAUUGAAAUUCAUCUAAUAUUAAUUGGCAAAAUAGAGUUCGGAUGAAAAUAUAUAUAAUUUUUUUUUUUGUUUUUUUAUCAUAUCACAAAAAAUAUACCAUUUUAACUAACUCAUUAAGAUAUUAUUUAUGAAAUAAAAAAAAAAAAAUUUAUUAUACUUUCUUACUACAUAUAGGGGCCGUUUGGUUAAAUGUAAUUAUAAAUGCAGUGUAGCAAGAGAUGCAUGCAGUUGGAAAUACAACAGUUAUAACUAUAUGAAUCUUGUUUGAUUAGAUGUAGUAGAAAGCGCUUAGUAGAAAUAAUUUGUUUGGUUGCAUGCAGCUGAGAAAUAAUUUUUAAAAUUUUAUUUUAUAUAUAUGAUGGUGAGAUUACCUCCAAUGUAAAAAAGAAAAAUAAUUUUUGUUUAAAAAAUAUUGAGGAGGUAAGCAUACUUUUUAUUUAAAAUUACUCUCUCCAACUGCUGUAGUUGGAACUGCGGCUAAUUUAGGCGCAGUUCGAACUGCUGCAAUUGGGCCUCCUCCUGCAGUUCCUACUGCAGCAGUUGGAGUUAAAUACAUCAAAUUAAACACGAAAUUUGCAUUUACAUACAGUUACAACUGUAGUGCAGUUGCAACUACAUGCAACCAAACGGCCCCAUAAUGCAAUACUAGUGAAGUUACCAGCACAUUGCGGCGUACUGAUGCUAUAAGAGACAGAAGAUUUACAAAGUAAAAUAUUUUAAAAUUUUUUGACUUAUCAUAAAAAAUCAAUAAAUAUAAACAGAACAUAUAAAAUGGAUAUAGUAAAAUUUAUAAUUUCAGCAAAUAAAUUACAUGUAAUAAUAAUAAAAAAAGCAGCAAUAAAAUACUAUUCCAUAUGCACCUUAAUUGUGCUGCCGAUAUCAAGAAGGCGAAUCCUGCUCUCCACUUCUCAUUCACCGCCAUUGUCAGCGUCGAGCCCCUCUUUAGUCACGGCAACACAUAUUUUUUUUUUUUUUUUUGCCUCAUAAAAGAAGUGGUUCUACUAUUAUUGACUAAUUAAACAAGUGGCCCUAUUAUCCAUUUGAAAUGGAUAUGGUGAAAGGUAUAUUAAAUCCUUACAGGGAAUGGAGUGGGUGUUGGUGGAUGGCUAAGUCUCCUCUCUCUCUCUCUCUCUCUCUCUCUCUCUCUUGCAACAGCAGACUGCCGACAUCACUAGAUCUAUUUUUGCCAGAACUCCUUCCUUUCAAUGCCAUCAAUUGUGUGGGGCCAACCAAAAUAAGAAUACAGUCUGGAAUAUAAAAAAACUAAAACAUUAACUUCUAACAAAUUAAACUAUUUUAAGGAGCGAAUAUUAUUUAAUCUGAUAUCAGAGAAGAACGUGAGGAGUUCAAAUCUUAUCAAAUUCUUAUUUAAGUUGAUGUUUUAGGUCUAUCGAAAUAUCCGGAGUAGGGAUGUCACUGGGUCGGAUUCGGGGCGGAUUUUCAAAAACCCGAAUCCGAACCCGACUCCAAACCCGAAAUCCGAACUCGAACCCGAAAAUCCGAAUCCGAAACAAUUAUUUCUCUUUUCAAUAUUUCAAAAUAUAUUAUAUUAAAUUUAAAAUUUCAAAAUACAAAAUUUAAAUAUAAUAUCAAAUUUUCAUAUGCAUAUUAUAUAAUGUAAAAUAAAUUCGGGUUCGGAUCGGAUUCGGGUAUAGUCAAAAUUCAUAUCUGUAUUCAUAUCCAUCGGGUUUUUGUUUUUGAUAUUCAUAUUCGAAACCAUAUCCAUUUAGUAUCAGAUAAAUUCGCUCCGUUCGAAUUCAGGUUCGAAUAAAAUUUCAGGUACCCGUACCCAUUGACAUCCCUAAUCUGGAGUGAGGAGAAAAAGAAGAGUGCUGCUUAUUUAGCUCUUAACUAAGUUCUCCUUGAGAUAUAGUUCUUAAUUUUUUUUUUUUUUUUGGUGGAACUAUAAAAAUUAUAUCUUAAUAAAAAUUUGAUCAUUACAGCAUGGUAUUAUUUACAGAAACAAAUGAAACAUUACUAAUUGUUUUUUUUUUUUUUUCCUCAUUGACUUUAUAAACCAUUUAGCAAAUGGAAAAGUCUAAACCUGUUGUAGUUACAAGAAGUCGAAAUGCAGUUCCGAGAUUGAAAAAUGAGGAUUCUAAUCUAGUGUUUCUGUUUAUGACAUCGCAAAAAUAAGCUACUGAAGAUGCUUCUUCUAAAAGCAUUACUUAGAUAACAUCUUAUCAAAGAAUUAAUAUCAUAUAUUCGACAACAGAAUCAAACAGUUCGACAACGACACUAAUUACUUUUGAAUAUGGUGUUAUAAGUGGUCUAUUUCUAGCUCCAGGUAAAGAACCAGGAAAUUAAGAAAAGAUCUCAAGUUAAAUUACAAACAGUAGUGUUAUUUUCUAAAACCUUAAUAUUAAACUUUGUCAAAAAAUCAGGCCCAGUAUCCUUUUCUUUUAGUGAGACAAAAUAAGGCCAUAGACAUUCCCUUUUUAGGCCCAAUAAUAAAAGGACAUCUGUUGACUAUUUAUUAUUGACUAAGGUUUAGUUUGGUAUUAAGCCUCAUCUAACGCUAUUAGAUAAAAUGUAUAAAAUGGAGUUGGGGUAAAAGCAUAUAGGGAUAUACUUCUGCGUUCUCUGGUGGGACCGCGGAAAAUAUAUCGUAACCGACUCAUCGCAAUAUACGGAACACAAUAUUACGUACGGAAAGAAACAGGGUAUUUUUCCAACAUACUGUAUGUAAAGCAAUCUCCCCGCAAUCCCAAACGCUGUAAAGCAAUCUCCCCGCAAUUCCAAAUGAAGCCUAAAAUAAAUUUAACUUUCUGUCCCAUAACAAAUAGGCCCUUUCUGUCCCAUAACAAGAGAUCCAAGAGAUUAGUAAAUUGAAUAAGGUUGUGAUCCACAAUAAACCUAACGGCAAGAGACUUUUACAUUUCAAGUAUUGUUGUUGAAUUCUUAAGUGCCAUCAGCCCUUCCUAUAUAUGAUAUAUCGGAACAAACUUUUGGGACAAUUAAUUAGUGUUUACGAUCCACAACAUCAUUAUAAGAUAUGCAAAAUCAAAAUAAAGGAAAUAAUAAAUAUGUUAUCUCAAAUAUUUUCUAUAAUGUCUAGAUUUUCCAUAAUAUUGUUUUUAUAAAUAAAUAGGUAAGGGGGUGUUUGGUUCUCCGAAAAAUAAAAAAUAAAAAAUAAUUUUCUAACUAAAAAAAAAUAAUUCUCAUCUAUUCGCGUUCAGAAAAAAAAAUUUGAGAAAAAAAUUUUGUUAGAUUUUAUAGAAAAGUCUUCUUUUCGUUUUUGACUUUUUAAUCUGAAAUAUGAAAAUUAUUGAGAGGUUGUUUUCCAAAAAAAAAAAUUUCUGAAAAAACAUUUUUAAUGAUUUUUUGAGAAAUUAAAAACUCUCUCAUGUGUUGGUACAUAUGAUGUGAGAGAUUUUAAUUGAUCCAUAUAAGAUUAAAAAAAAAGAAUUACAUGAAACUAAUUAAAUAUAUGAUUGAAAUAGAAACAAAUAAUUGGAAUAUACAUUUACUACAUGUGACAUUCUGAAACUACACGUAUAUCUUAAUAUCUUUAUAUUUAUGUAGAGUAUUUAUACAAAUUUUCACUUCGCACCAAACAUGCAGAAUUAGUAUAACUUGUCUAAGUGAAAAUCUUCUACUCAGAAUGAUUUGAAGUUACUAAAUUCAGAAUUAUGAAUAAGCGGAAAACUUGGAGUUAUUGAUGAAACCAAAUAUAGAAUGUUAACUUAUGAUGAAACCAAAUAUAGAAUGUUAACUUAUCUUUAUAUCUUGAAUUCUAAACAAACAAACAAACAAACAAACAAACAACUAGGUGGAAGUUAUGUAGAGCGCACCACUAUUUGAUCGAAAGUGGAGUGAAGUAAAGUUAUUUUCUAUUGAAACACUUAAGAUCCGUUUAUUUUGGUGUAAGUAGAGGGAUGGAACUCAAGUUUCACCACUUUCGUUAUUUAUUUUGGUGUAAGUAAAAAAUAAGAAAAACUUCAAAAAUCCCCCUGUGGUUUCGCACUUUUUAUUUUAGUACCCUGUGGUUUAAAGUGUAUCAAGUUAGUACCUUGUGGUUUCCCACUUUAUCACUUUAGUACCCUGUGGUUUAAAGUGUAUGAAGUUAGUACUCUGUGGUUUUAUUUUCGUAUCAAGUUAGUACCCUGUGAUUUUAUUUUUAUAUCAAGUUAGUACCAUGUGGUUUUUAAACCACAUGGUACUAAAAGUGAUAUAGUACGAAACCACAGGAUACUAACUUGAUACACUUUAAACCAUAGGGUACUAAAGUGAAAAAGUGCAAAACCACAGGGUACUAACAUGAUACACUUUAAACCACAGAGUACUAAAGUGAAAAAGAGUGAAACCACAAGGGGGGUAUUUGAAGUUUUUUCUAAAAAAUAUAAUGUAACUCGUUAUGUUAGACCUUCACUUCACUUAUUCUCGACUUCCUUAAUCUUCACUUCACCUACUCUCGAAUUUCUUUUUUUAAAGUGUCGAACUUGACUUCCGCCACACUCAACAUUCUCUAAAAAAUUUAUUAAACAUUAAAUCUAAACUCUAAUUCUUUUAUAAUGGGUUAGAAUUAUCUUAUUUAUAAUAAAUUAUAAUUACCUUUAAAUAAUAAUAAAAAAAAUUAAUUAUAUAAUGGGUGAAACUUUAUAGCGAUAAGUUUACCGCUAUAUUUAGAAGAUAACAAAAUUCACUUACUUACAUCAAAACAAACAAUAAAAUUUAAAAAACUAAUUUCACCAACACCAGGUUAUAUCAAAACAAACAGAAGAAGUAAUUAAAUUUCACUUUCAGACUGUACGAGUUACGUCAAAACAAACAAUAAAAAAUAAUCACACUAUAUAUAUUUCAUAUAUUGUAAUAAAAGUUUUUCUUUAGUUUCACUUUCGUUUCAAACAAGCUAUAUAUUAUAUAUACCAUAAUAAUAAAAAAAAUUAUUACUAGCACAAUUGAUAAAAAUAUUAUUUAAUUUUUGAGAAAGAAGAUUGUGGCCAAUGAGAAUAAAAGAGAAUAAAAAAUUACGACCCUAUAUACAUAUGAUAUUUACAAAUACGUUAAAAGAGAAUGGGAAAAAAAAAAAAAAAAAAAAAAAAACCUUUUUAUGUGAUCCAACACUUCUAUAGCUCUUCGAUCGUGCAAUCCCCCUCUUAAAAUGAAUUGGAUUAAAACUAUGAUGAUGAAAUUAGUAAAAAAAAAAAAAUUAAAUGAAAUUAAAAUUACGAUGAGAUUCGUGCAAAUAGAAUAUAUAGUAAUAAUAUAGUCGUCGUCGUCGUCGUCGUCACACGAGCUCAAACGACGUACUAAACCCUAACCCCUACAUAAAUAAACCAUUGCGUACACACGCACGGGUGAAAGAUCACCUCGAAACCCUAGAUUUGGAUCCGCGCGAUCUCGCCGUUGGUGGCGGCGAGAGGGGGAAGCGGAAGGAGAAAUCGCGGCGGAGGAGCUCGUCGCGGUUGUCGUCGUCGUCGUCGUCGUCGUCGUCCUCGGCGUCGCCAUUGUCGCCCUCGUCGAAGUUGAGGGCGUAGCUGAGCGGGUCGUACCCGAACCCGAACCCGUCGCGGCAGCGGCGGCGGCGGCGGAUCCCGGCGACGAGGCUCCGGCACCGGCGCCACCCCUCCGCCGCCGCCGAGGACGGCGACGAUCGGGGCGCCGAGCGCGGGGCGGCGGCGCGGGGGAAGCAGGAGAGGAGCGAGGAUCGGAGCCGUUGCUUCAGGGUGGCCGACGAUGGAGGAGGAGGUGGAGGAGGAUGCGGCGGCGACGACGACGAAGAAGGGUCGGGUACGCGUCGGUGAUCACAAUAUCUCAUGUCGCUUAACUUCGUUGCUAAAAUUAGGGUUAGGGUUUCGUAUGAUGAACGUGGUGAGGAGGAAGAGGAAGACGAUAGGUUGAGCGUAACGGAAUAGAGAGUAUCGAAAUUUUGUGAUCAUAAAAUCCAUAUAAAUAAAUACUGUAAAAAAAAUAAAUAAAUAUAUUAAAAAAAAUAAUAUUAUUAUUUAUUUUAAAUAUUAGUUAAUAUUAGUAAUAGUGCGUAUACAAUACACUCAUUGUGUGUAAAAAAAAAAUAUAACAAAAUAAAUAAAUAUAUAUAUAUUAUUAUUUAAAGUAAAAAUGUGCUGUACUUAUCUGAACUAUCGAUCAUUUUAAGUUAGCUUCACAAUCUUUCUAAAUUUUGAUUUUAUUAUCCAAUAUUUUAAUUUAUUUCAUUUCAGUCCAUCAAUAAUGUUUUAAUUUCAACAUUAGUAUACUUCAUAUAAUUCUCGCGCUAUAAAUUUAUUAAGAUAAAUAAUUAGUAUAAAUUUUAAAGUCAAAGUAUCAUUAUCUGACCCAAAUGAAACAAGUUGAUAAAUUAGAUAGUAAAUUAAAAUUUUGAAAAAUGCUGAUUCAAAAAGAUCCAUAUUUCAAAUAAGCUAUAUAUAUAUAUAUAUAUAUAUAUUGAUUUUGUAAAGUUAGAUUUAUCUAGUAAAUUUAAGCAGAUUUGAAAACUUAAAUUAUUUAAUCUAAAAGUUUUAUCUGAUUAUUAUCAUCUAAUUUGAUAAAAAAUAGAAAGAAGUAUAGUAGAUUAGUAAAUUUGGUUUAUUAAAAUUUAUUUUUGAUCAGACGUUGAAUCGAUUAUCAGUAUAUAAAUAAAUAAAUAAAUAAAUAAAUAUUAUUGUAAUGGUAUUGUGUAAUAUAUUGGGCUAAAAAAAGAUCAAAUUUUAUUCAAAUCGGGUGUAAUGCACCACAUAAUUAAAAAUAAUAUCAAAUUAAAAUUUUUGAAAAUAAUCUAAUUAUAUACGUUCUAUUAUAUAUCUAAUAUAAACAUAAAUUAUUUUCUAUUUAAAUUAAAUUUGACACACAUUUUAUUAAUGAGAUUUCAAAAUAUUAAGCGGGCCAAUAAAAGCCCGGCCCAGGGAAUGAUAACUUGUCCCCUAGACCCGGUUUAUUGGGCCGGACUAGGACCAGCACUUAAAAUAAAUUUUCAAAAGCCCGGCUCAACGGGCCCGGUCCAGCGAGUAUACUGUUAUUUGUGGGGCUAUUCUUUUUCUACAAACUUUUUUUUUUUAAAAAAAAAGCUUUUACAAAAGUAAUUCAAUUUAUUUAUCACAAAAAUUUAUAAAACUUACAUAACGUUUUUUGUACUCAAUCUUUCAAUUUGUUCUCUUCGAAUACAAAUUUUAAGCUAAUUGUUUACUUUAAUAAAUUUAUAGUUACGUAAGUUACAUAAAAUAUAGUAAUUAAAUUUGUAAAGAUAAACAAAGCAUUCAAAUUUUAAAUUUAAAAAAGUCACUAAUUGGUUCAAAUCAAAUAAAUUAAAAGGUCGGAUAGUAAAAUCAAAUAUUCUGAAAAUCAGAUAAUUAGAUACAAAGAGUAAUAUUUUGAUACCUUUUUUUUACCAUUAUUUUUUUUUUCAAUUUUGUAAAGGGUAUUUUGGUACUUAAAGAAUGUUUUGAUUUACAUCAUAAAAAUAUGAUACAAAGUUUCUCUUAAUAAUGGAACAAAAUUAAUGAAUUUCAUUGGAUCCAAAAAUUAUUUGAUAAACCCGAUCCAAUUAGCUACCAAAAAUCCUAGCUAAAAUCCAAAAAAAAUAAUUUUAUAAUAAAGAUGUACUCAUGUACAUGGACCCUCUAAACUUUGGCAGUUUUAUAAAUAGACGUCUGAACUUUAAAUAAUAGCAUUUAGGUACUUUAAAUUUAAUCAAAUAAUUUAAUCCGCCUCUCCACCAUUCGAAGUUUUUACUUACUCGGUCACUUUAGAGUCGCUUCUAUUGCAUAUAAUCUUAUAAAAGAAAAAAUUCUUUAAUUAUGACGUUUAAAAUUAUCAAAAUUAGAAAAAAUUUAGAUUUUUUUGUGUGUGCGCUUUGAAGCUAUAUAUAUAUAUAUAUAUAUAUAUAUAUGGUAUAAAAGGGAGAAAUUUAUUAAACUAUUUCAUAAAAUAUUGGAGAUCUAAAUGCAAAAAUUUAAAAUUUAGGAGUUUUUUUUUUUUUGCAAAAAUAUUAAAGUUUCCUAUUUUGAGGUCCCAGUGGGGCCCAUGUUACCCACAAGUACAAGCAAGAUGAGUCACCAUACCAUGAUUUGAUUCCUUGUGUCCCCACGUGACACUGUUGCAAGAGGAAACAAUGCAUAUGGAUAUGGCCCAUAUGGGAGAGGGUCUACCAAUUUUUCGCCCGCACCCGGUGCAUCGUGAUUCCAUGCACCGCCAAUUUAUCAACCUUCCAUUAUAUUCAGAGCAUAUUUGGUUCAUGAUCAGAAUCAAAUCAAAUAUCGAUCAAUGCUAAAAGCAACGAAUCAUUACCGUUACAUGCUUGACUCAAGGCUCCUAUUUUACUUUAGAAGGACGGUCAGGGUAUAGUUUCCUACAACCAAACUGUCAGCACGAAAGAUAAUUAUUCUGAGUAUUAUCCUUGACCUCAGAGCUUUUCCUAUCGAAAAUGUUCUUAUAUAAAAGAUGAUUGAUCAGUUAUAUAUAGUACGACCAAACCAACUUAGCUAAGGUGGAGAAACUCUUUAGUUUGAAAAUAGAGAUCUAAGGUCAAAAUUCAGAUUAAACCACUUUAGGGUUUAAGAUUUAUAGAGUUUACAUAAGAAUACUGAAUAAAAACACUGAUCGAUCGAUAGCGCACAGAUCUGUAGAUACAGGUAUGCAUUGUAUGCAAGCAAUAAUUUGCAAAAAAAUAUGGUGGGAGACAUUACAUCACUCAUGUCACUGUCACAUUCACGAGUGAGUGGAUUUGUUGUGUUUUUUUAUAUAUAACUUUGUUCAAUAGCGUUUUCACUGUGAAGUGGCAACAAAAACACUCCAUCUAUGUAAUUCUUAAUUUUCUAUGCCCCACCACACGCAUCAGAUUGAGUGAUAUGCCCCCAAAAAAAAAGGACAAUGAAAUCUGUAUUAUACUGGUGGUGGAUUUUGAUAUUUUGCCAACACAUUAUUUUAUACUUAAGCUGAUAGACGGAAAAAUAUCAGCCUUUCAAAAACUUACCUACUUAGUAUGAAAAAUUCGACAGGUAUUAAAACUAUUUCUGAAUCCAAGAUUUUAAGUGUCCGUCGGCACGGAUCGUAUCCACCGUGUCGUAUCAUGCCAAUAAAAUAGCGGUACGAUACAGAACCCGUACCGAUGGCACAGUUCAGAACCCUCUAUUAUUUUAAAUUAGUAAGUAAUUUUCUCAAUAAAGUUUAAAAGAUGUGAUAAAAGGAUAUAAUAAAUAUUUAGAAUAUUUUGUUGCAAAAGAAAAUAAAUAUUUAAUGCUAUUAUGUGUCGGCACACAAGAAUUUUUUGAUCGGUACGUAUCGGCACGGCUCGGCAUAUACUGUGCCGGUAAGUUUCCUGUACGAUCCCGUGUUAUGACACUUAAAUUCUUGUCUGAAUCAUUCUCUAUCAAACUGAUCUCCGUGUUUACUCUGAAAGCUUAAAAUGGAGGCAUAAUUUUUGUAUCCUAUUCUCUCACAGUAUAAAAAGUAACUGACUAUUCUAUAAAAGCUUAAGCUAUCAGUAGAAAUCAAUUUUGGGCAGCAACAGCAGUUAAUGAGUGCAGCAAAUAACUGCUGCACACAACUGCAAGGAGCCAAAACCACCAUAACUGCUGCCAGCAGCUGUAAUUUUCCCAGGAAGAACCUUCCUGGAAGGUGGCCAGUCCUCUCUUCCAUGUUCCCCACCAAAAACCCUUCUCUCUCUCUCUCUCUCUCUCUCUCUAAAAAUAAAAUAAAAUAAAACAAAACAAAAUAGUGCUUGUACCAAUGAUGUGUAUAAGCACUUUUCGUACACGGCACCUCUGAAAAUUUUGCCACAGAGACCUCAAAAUCAAAAUCUAAAUCACGGAAUACAUUAUUUACCGAUUAAAAGAGUCUACGCGUCAAAAUUAUGUACCUUAAACUUUUCUCCCUCACCAUUGAUUUUUUGAGACUCCCAUCACUUACAAGUUUUUAUAUGGAGUGUCGCAUCUAUUAUACUGGAUAGGGUUACUAUACUCUUGUGAAUAUAAAUCUCUUUAUACUUAUAUGUUUUCGAUCAUUGGAUGGAGAUAUGUGCGGUUAGGAUGAUAGUUGUCUCUUAGGUUGAGUGGGUGGUUGGUUGAAUAGUAUGAUCUAACGGGUGUAAAUAAUCAAGGGGGUAUAUCUAACGGCCGAAAAUUUAUGAGUACAAAGAGCCUUAUAUUCAUAAGAGUAUAGUAGCCGAACUCCUAUUAUGCUAGUUUCUGAUUUGCCAUAUAAAUUUAUAAAAAAUGGUAAUUAUUAAAUAUAAAAUAUUAAAAUAAUAUUGAUAAUUUUUUUGCACGAUAUCAUGAGAGAAGUACGUGAGAUCUUGAAUUCUCCGUCUUCUUCUGAAUUCUCUGACAAUUUAAAGUUUCAUAGAAACUGAUUAUUUCAUAAAUUUUAAUGGAAAAGUUUUCAGUGUGCCCCUCUAAAAACACAUAUUUAUAUGAAUGCCUUUACAAAAAUUGAAAUAUCUUAAAUAUCCCUCUAAAUAUAGAAAAUUUUCAAAAAGUACCCUUCAAAAAAAUUUCUUGUUAAAAUCCACACUAACGGCAUCCAAAUAAGCAAAUACCAAUUUUAUCCUUUUCAUAGUUGCCCUUUUAAUUAGCCACUCUAUUAUUUAGUACAUUUGUGCUUUGACCCUUUACUGUAAAAUUUUAUAAGAUGAUUUGAGUGUUUUUAAAAAAUUUUGCAAGCAGUGUUAAAUCAUUUAAUUGUAAUUUCAAAUCUGGUAAGUAAUUUUAUACUCUAUGAUUAGCGAUAAAACUUCAUAAUUUUUCAGUCGAUUUAAGAUAGAAAUAUUAUUCAUAAUAUAUAAAUCUUACAGAAACCAAUAUGAAAAUCUAACUAACUAAAUAACAUAUACAUAUUUCAUAAGUAGGAUAAAUAAUUAUAUUAAAAGCUGAUAUUUAAAUUUAUAAGAUAUUUACAAAAAAAUUAUAACUCAUUACUAAUAGUUCGAACAUUUAAAAGGACAACUAUGAAAAGAAUAAAAUAGAUAUUUUGUCGCCAUUAGUGUGGAUUUUAACAAAACAAUUUGUUCCGAACAAUACAUUUAAAAAUUUUCUAUAUGUAGAGGUGCAUUUAAGAUAUUUCAAAUCCAUGUAAAUAUUUGCCUUUAGAGGGUCACACAGGAAAAUUUCCCCAAUUUUAUUUUAUAAUAAUUAGGGAAAACUUCAAAUACCCCCAUUGUGGUUUCGCACUUUCGCAUUUUAGUACUCUAUAAUUUAAAGUGUAUCAAGUUAGCACCCUGUGAUUUCGCACUUUCUCACUUUAGUACCAUAUGGUUUAAAGUAUAUCAAGUUAGUACUCUAUGGCUUCAUUUUUGUAUCAAGUUAGUACCCUAUGGUUUCAUUUUUCUCUUUUUAUUAUCCAUUUCGAGGUAUUUUUUUCUUAAAAUCAGUGUCAAAGUUAAAAUUAAAGGGUACUAAAAUGAAUAUUCUAGAUACAGUAUCUGAAGUUUUUUGUAUAUAAUUUAACGAAAUAUUAAACCACAGGAUACUAAAGUGAGAAAGCACGAAACCACAGGAUACUAAUUUGAUACACUUUAAACCACAGGGUACUAAAAUGAGAAAGUACGAAACCACAGGGGUACUAACUUGAUACACUUUAAACCACAGGGUAUUAAAGUGAGAAAGUGCGAAACCACACGGGGUAUUUGAAGUUUUCUCUAAUAAUUAUAUAGUGCAUUAUAUAUAUAUAAAUGUACUCAAUGUGGUGGCCAUAAAUAAUUUCCUUCUCUCUCUCUCUCUAAGUUCAACAACUCCCACACCAUGUAUUACUCUUCCACACAUACACACUCUCUCUCUCUCCUCUUCUCACAAAAGAAGAAGAGACCAUUACACAUAGUAGAAUUUACAAUGAAGAUUUAGUACAUAGUUGAAUUUUCAUUCUUAUAGUGACUUUCUAAUUAUCCUUUAUAUAUAUAUAUAUAUAAAUAAAUAUAAGCACAAUUAUUAUAUAUUAAUGGCCAUCAUGGCCGGGAUUCUCGCGGGCUCGGACUCCGCGCGGCGGCGGCAGCAGCAGCGGCAGCGGCUCCGCCAGGCCCGAUCGGCGGCGGAUUCGGCCGCGGUCGGUUCACGGCGAUCAUCAUCAUCAUCAUCAUCUUCUUCUUCUUCUUCUUUGUUAUAUCAUGCAACAAAGGGAACUGAGACUCUGCAUAAUAGUACUGUUGCAACCCUGGUUAGUGGUGUGCUUUAGUUAAUGUACAGAGUUAAUUAUUAUUCUUAAGAUUUGUUAUUAAUUGCCCCUAAUUUGUAUUAUGUGUGGUGGUUUAAUAAUUUUUUUUGUUUUGUUUUGUUUUCUUUUUUUACCAGCAAAUUGUUAGGGGCAAUAAUAAUAAUAAUAAUAAUUACAUGAAUAGAGAGUUUCAUGAUUGGAACCUCGGGAGUGGCGCUCGCGAGGCCAAGGAAAGGUUGGAUGAAAAGCUUCGGAAUCAGAGAUCUUCAUCAGUGGUCAAAAGGUCAAAAAAUUAAAAUUCUAACUUAUGCUUAUAAUAUAAGCGGUUUUAUUCACGCAUUAGUAUAAAUUUUUGAAUUCAAUUUCAGUCUCUUUAAUAUGAUAUAUCAUGUGAAAUAAUAAUACGACACUAUUUAGUCUGAUAUGAUCAUGUAAAAUAAUAAUACGACACUAUCGGAUAGUGUUGGAGCUUAGCUUGAUUUUCAAUCUGGCUAUCUAUAUUACACUUUGAGAUGUGUUUAGUUUACGUUUUGUAAUAUUCCAGUAAUUCUCUAUAUUUUUAUUGAAGAUAUUCAAAUUAUUAUUAUACAGCUCAAAUUAGAUAGUUGCAAAAGCUGUUAGCGAAAUAUAUAAUAAAAUUAUUAUAACAUUCCAGAUGAUAAAAAAAAGAGAAAAUGUCAAACGCCAUUCCUAUAGUUUUGUACUUUCUCACUUUGGUACUAUGUGGUUCAAAGUGUAUCGACUUAGUAUUCCGUUGUUUCAUUUUUUUCUUUUUAUUAUCCCUUCCACUAAUAUUUUUUCGUUAAAUCGGUGACAAAAUUAAAACUAAAAGAUACUAAAGUGAAUAUUCGAUAAACCUAGGUGGGGUAUCUCAAAUUUUUAAUAUAUAAUUUAACGAAAUGUUAAUGGAGGAGCUGACAAAAAGAAAAAAAUAAAACCAUAGGGUACUAAAUUGAUACACCUUAAGCCAUAAGAUACUAAAGUGAGAAAGUGCGAAACCACAGAGGUGGUAUUUAAAGUUUGCCCAAAAAAAAUAGAUUAUCAUAAGUUAUGAGGUUUUCUUAUUUUUAUGCUUGAUAAAAUUCAUUAGUAUUACAUUAAUAAGAAUAUACUAAUUUCUAACAACCCUCAACUCAAACCGCUUGAUAAGUUCGUAACAAACGUGUCAUUGCAAUUUUUUUUGAAAAAGAAAUAAUUAAAGUAUUUUAGUAAGAAGUACGAAAAAUAGAACACAAUACCGAGAUAGUACAGGAGUUUUCCUCCUUACAUUUUUCUCUCUUUUGUGUGUGUGCGCGCGCACGUGUGUGGUAGCAGACGAUAUAGCAUGGUGAGCAUAGUGGGCGCAUUGCAGAAGGAGAUCUUCUCUUAUAGGAAGAGCAGCACGAGGAGGUUCAACUGGAGCAGAUUGGCGUGGAACAAGAAUGUGGAAGCGAAGCCAGAUCACGCGGCUACCGAGUGUGCUGUCUGCCUGGAGGAGUUUAGAGCAGGCGACGAGCUGACCCACCUGCCUUGCGCCCACCGCUUCCACCGUAGCUGCGCCGUGCCCUGGCUCGAAAUCUCACCGCAUUGCCCGUCUUGCCGAACCUGCAUCUUCCCUUCUUGCAGAUAGUACGUAAGAAGAGUAUAAGUGAGAAUGAAUAACAUACUCGCUAUCUUGUUGUUCAAGAUGUAAAUGGAUCCUAGGAUCAACCAAUUUGGACAAAAUAAAAAAGUUAAUGUUCCCUUCCUCUAAGAUUGGUUUUUCUUUUCAUUUAUUUUACUUUGGGAAAACUUCAAAUGCCACUUCUGUCGUUUUACACGUUCUCACUUUCGUACCCUGUGGUUUAAAAUGUAUCAAUUUAGUGUCCCGUGGUUUUAUUUUUAUCUUUUUAAUAUCGAUUUUACUAAUUUUUUUUAUUAAAUCAGUAACAAAGUUAAAACUAAAGGGUACUAAAAUAAAUAUUCGAUAAACCUAGGUGGGGUAUCUGAAGUUUUUUUGUAUAUAAUUUAACGAAAUAUUAACGGAGGAGCUGACGAAAAGAUAAAAAUGAAACCACAUGACAAUAACUUGAUAUACUUUAAACCAUAGGGUAUUAAAGUGAGAAAGUACGAAAUUAUGGGAGCGGUAUCGGAAGUUCACCUUUUUUAAAAAAGGGACAAAAACAGAGAGCAUUACAGUGCAUAAAGAAAGAUUUCUAUCCCAAAAUAUAAAAGAGAAAAAUGUAUCAAAAUUACAAAUGAAAAACUAGAUAUUUAAUUUUCAAACUUUGCACAUUACAAUGACACAGAGUUCAUUUUUCGCAUUUCUCUUUAUACAUUCAUAUCCAGAGGGAUUUGACGCGCUCAAAUAGAAUUGCGAUAUAAAACUUGUUCUCUUCGCUGGAGCUUACGUAAAAAUAUUUCCAAAAUUUUAUAUAGUACUAUUUGAAAUCUAAGUUGGAACUUCUGCUUUAGAGCUUAAAUCUCACUUUAGUAAUCUAUAUUAGCCGAAAUUUUAAAAUGUGUGGUAAUCAAAUAUCCGCAAUUAGUAAUUAAUUACAUAAUGAAUCUUAGCAGCUAAAAUGAGUUUUUUUUAACACCAAUAGGCGGAUCACUUUCCCCGGUUCAAACAGAUCCUUUAUAGGCUCCGUUUGGUUCAGAAAUUAGUAGGAACUAGUUAUACCAGAAAUAGAUACAAAUAUUGAUUUUUGUAAGAAUAAGGGUAUUUUUUUAUUUGGAUUAAAAUGUGAGUAUAAGCUAGAAUUAGAAAAAUUACGUUUGGAUGGUUAUUGGGAAUAAGAGGAAUAGUUGUUAGUUAUAAAUAGAAAAUAAUAAUAUUAUCCCUAUAAUUGAAUUUAAAUUUUUAAAUUUUAAACUUAUGAUUUUAAAUUGAAAUUUGAAAUUUUUAACUUUUAAAUUUUAAAAUUUGAAAUUAAAAUUUAAAAUUAUAAUUUUAAAUAUCAAAUUUCAAAUUUAAGACUAAAUUUAAAUUUCAAAGAUAUAAAAUAGCAAAUUUAAAAUUUAAAAACUAAAAUUUUAAAUUUUAAAAUUUAAAAAUAUCAAAUUUAAAAUUUAAACUAUAAAAUUUAUAAUUUUAAAUUAUAAAUUUAAAUUUUAAAAUUAAAAUUUAAAAUAAAAAAACUCUCUCUCUCUCUCUCUCUCUCUACUCAAGUGGAUGGGAACAAGUUUGUUUUCAACUCGGGUGGGAACACCCGGGAACUAUUGUUUCCAUCCUUACCGGACUGGUAAGGGUGGGAAAAAUAGUUCCCACCCCCCAGUUUUUCUGUUUGGGUAUAAAAUGGGGAUAUCCCCUUAUCGUCUUUAUACCCGAGCCAAACAGGGUGUCGAAGGACACAAAAUAUUUAAAAGAAAAAAAGAAAAAGAAAAGAAAAAAAAGUUAACAAUCAACAAAGAGGGAAGAAAAAGCUUUUCACUUGCAAAAAUUUUGAAUACUGCUGUAAAUAAAUUUUGUUGAUAUGUUUAUACUAUCAUAUAAAAUAAAAAAAAAUGAUUGAUGGACUGAUACACCUACAUCAAAAUUAUUUUAUCAAAUUAUUAGCACACCAAUAAUAUGGAUAAGUACAAUUUUUUAAAAGGAUGUAAAAAUAAAAGUUUUUUUUUUUUACUUAAAAAUGAGAAAAGGGUAGAUAACAACAGCAAAGCAAGUGAUGGGUACUUUCUGGGUGACCAGUCAUUAAAACCAUUCAUUCAUUCAUUCAUUCAAUCAUUAAAACCAACAAUAGAUUCUGAGGAGGAGGAUACCAAAUAAUUGAGGUAAGUGGGGCCCCCUGUCAUUUCAAAAAAUUUAAAAAAGGUUGGGUACAUUCUCAACUUUUCUCAGCAGCAAAUUCACUAUUGUUAUAUGUCACAUAUAUUUAAUACUUUUUAUUAUAUAAAAAUAAAGUAUUAAAUUUUAUACUUUUUAUUAUAUAAAAAUUGUGUGUGUGUGUAUGUGUGUGUAUAGAAGGAGAGAGAAGAGGAGGGUUGGGGGGACACGUGUCACUCUAAGGUCCCCCAAAUUUUUCUUUAAUGUAGUUAAAUAGAUAGAUGUGAUAGCUUAUAGCUGUUACAAAAAAAUAAUUUCUCUCGCAUGUAUUGGGUUUUGGAAUUAACAUCUAUCAAACUUUUGAAGAGGGCUGAAGUUGAUUGAUGUGACUUGCAUAAGGGAGAUAACAAAGACAGACAGUUAUUAUUAUUAUAACAUUAAAUUUGAAAUGAAUUAUUAUAUUUGAAUACUUGUUACCUUACAACCAUACAAUAAAAUACUGGCUCAUAAAUAAUAUUUUAAAAAAUAUUUCGAGAAACUCACAAUACAUUAUAAAUGAGAUUAAUGAAAUAGAGAUUAAAGAGACAUAACACUUAUUAGGGUGUUUAAUUUGGUGGAAGUGGAUGAGUGAAACUCAAAUUCCAUCGCUUUCGAUGUUUAUUUUAUUAUAUGUCAAAAAAAUAAUAUAACUCAAAUUAUAUUAAACCUCCACUUCAUUUGCUCUCGACUUCUCCCUCUUGAAUGCUGAAUUCAAAUUCCACCAUACUUAAUUUUCUCUAAAACAAAAUUAAUCAAAUAUUAAAACCGAAGCUCUACUUCCUUUAGAAUGGAUUAAAAUUACAUUUUUUUUACAAUGGGUUAAAAUUACUUCUAACCACUUCAAAAAAACUCAAACACCACUGCACUCGAAUUACAUUGAAUCUAGAGAUUCGUCGAUCCAAAUGCCCCUUUAGAGGCUUCAGGCUUUUUCAUGUGAGAAAACAUUAGUUUUUUUUUCUGAAUAUGUUCAUAAAGAAAUUAGGUUUUACAUUCAAAACCACAAACAAUAUACAUACUGUAAUAUUUUACAUGGGAAACAAAGAUAACACAAGUCAAUCGUUUCGGUUACUAGGUAGUAUUUUGAUCUGUCACUACACACACAAUGCAGAUUAUGGAUUCCAAGCACAAGAAGAAACCACUUACGCAAUUUGAAAGGCUACAUUGCAACCCUAGUUCUUAAAACUAAACAGCAGAUGACACUUGAGUCUGAAAACUUUAAUUUAUAAUAAUUUCUGACUUAAAACUUCUUAAAUCAUUGCAAUUAGGUUCGAUCGUCAAGCCCGGUCCAACCAAGUUGACAGAUGAUGCUUGAGUCUGAAAACUUUAAUCUAUAGUAAUCUCUGACUUAAAACUUCUUAAAUUGUUGCAAUUAGGUUCGAUCGUCGAAGCCCACUCCAACUAAGUUGACGGAAUGCUGACACGACAUUCUACUAACCGUCACAUCAUCGACACAUUAUUGCCACUUUAAUAUAUGCUAAUGAUAUGGCAUUUUAAUUAGUACCACUCAACACCACAUCAGUAAUGAAGGGGAGAGGAGAAGAGGCAGAUAUUAUUGCCUGCACAAGGUACAGCGGAGCAUCCGUGCACGACAAGCAAAAUCUAAACAAGAUGAUCUUCAAAUCGAAGUCUUAAUCCAUUGGAUGCGAUGUUGCAUAAUUAUAUAGGCCUUUGUAUCAAAACUAGUAAGUUUUGGAAAAUCAUUACGAAGCUCUAGUAAUCUCAAAAUCAACGGCGUGAAAGGGAUUAUCAUUUAAUGCAAGAACUGUCAAAGUAGAUGUCUAAAACAUGAUUUUCAUCUGAAAACAUUUCCUGCAUGGUAGAUCAAAUUCAACGGAUUACAUUCGACUUGAAACUCGGUUAAAAUUUUGCUAAUGACGCGCAUGCUCUGGUGCACCUGGUGAAAGCAAUAAUUUUCUCCCCUUUCUUUCCCCUCCUAGGUAUGUGGUGAUGAAAGAGCAAUAACUAAAAUGCCAUGUCAUUACCAUUUCCGCAUGGCAACGGUGUAUUGAUGGCACAUCAGUGGCUAGGACACCACGUCAGGGCCGUGCUAAACACUAACAGUUUUGACGAUAAAACUUGAUUGCAACAAAAAAAGUUUGAGCUAAAAAUUACGACAAGUUAAAAUUUGAGGGUCAAAAUGCCACCUACAUUAUGGUUUGAGGGUUGUGAGUGCGAUUCACCCAACUUGAGAUACUCUUGAGUACUGGGGCUAGGUUGAAUGGCUUCUGGAAUAGUUUCUCAGCUUCCAAAAGCAAUAGUUAAAAUUUAGCAAACAACAAUUUUGAAACUGCAACAUGUACUCUUGCAUGAAGUUGAAAACGAGCAUCUCAGCCCCAAAUUUGAAGUUUCUGCUUUUGCUGCAGAAGGAAGUUGAGAAGAUACCGAUGGAAAAGCUAUUACUGUUUCUUCGAAAUUGAUUCACUCAGUAACCCUUCUGCAGAAGCUCUUGCAGGGCGAAACAAGCUCUAUAACUCUAGGAUACCCCCUCACAUACAUCCCCGCGACACAAAGGGCACACCCUGCAUUCAGUAAAGAAAGAAAUAAAAAAAUACAGCAUAGUUUGGAAAAUGGUAAUUCCUAGAUAUGUAAAUAAGAAAAGAGUCUCAGCAUUAAUUAUACCGGUGUAUUUCUUUAAGCCACUUGUCAAUGCAUGGCAUAUGAUAUUCAUGGUGGCAGGGAAGGACUCUGAUCUGAUCUCCAUCCUCAUAUUCGGAAAGGCAGAUAUAACAUCUAGUGAAAUGCAUAACAGAAAGUUUAAUAUUGUGAAGUAGGAUAAAGCAAAGUGUAUGUUAUAUUUAUCUUUAGCCAGCCAAGGAAUAGAAGGAUAGUAUUAGCCAUAAAACUAAUUGCUCCGCCGAACCACAUACCACAGUAAUGGAAAGAAGUUAUUGCAGCUCGAAAAGAUAUUUUCUCCUAUACGACAUUUUCAACCAUUCAAAUAGACACAAAAGGAAGAAAGUGACUCCAUAGUCGUGUUAAGAAUGCAAAAAAUUUUGGCAGACGUUUUUUUAAAAAUUUUCUGGGGGGCUAGUAGAAGUUCAAAACUUACUGUUCAAUGUCAUCGCUAAUUCCAGCUGCAUCAAGCUUUUUGUAACUCUUAGCAGGCAACGAAUUAACAAUAGACUCUGGUGCAGGGAGAGAAACCAUAGAUAGAGAAAGUGACACAGGCUGGCGAUGAAUUUCGUCCAAGACCUGCAAAGUGUUUAUGUCUAAGUCAAAAUACCAUAUAAGAACUCAAGAGCAUGUUUUGUGCAUGCAUUAAAUUUUAGUUUCUUAUAAUUGUUAAACAGUAAACAUAUAAAAUAUAUGAUAGUUCAGUAGUUAACAUUACAAAAAAAAAAAGAAAAGUACAUAUAGAAGAUAUCAUAAAGAACAGAAGGGGAAGAAAGGGGCAGUGGGGAUCAUCUUGAUGAACAUGCAAUAUGAAGAGGCAUGAGUAUUGACGUUGUAAACAAAUAGGACUAGAAUUAUACGUAGCUUCAAAAGCUAGAAGAUCAGAAUCUGACUUCUCCAAAAUCAAUGGAGAGUACAUAGGAUCUUACAGUACAAACCUCAAACAAUGCUUCCGCUAGCAUGACGAUUCUUGAAAUACUUGAUGGGGUGCCUGAUUCUCCAGCCAUAGAGAAUGAACUGCAUGAGCAUGUGCCACAUGGGUGGAGCCCUGUCGCACAAAAGGUAGUUGGCAUACUGGUAUUCUCAAAGCCAGGACGAUGCCGUUGCCUUAUCUGCACCAAGGAACUGUAAGAUCAAAAUGUCCAGAAAUUCACCUCACUUAUUCAUGUAGAAAAUGAAUUGGAUUUGAAAUAAAAUACCAUAAAAGCCCAGGUUUAUAGAAAAGAAUUGCACCGAAAAGGUUAAAAUUGUUAAAAUUCGUAUGACCGAGGAUUUCAUGCAGCCUAACUUGAAGUAAUAAUUAACAUAAAAGAUUACCCGUGAUCUUGAAUGCCAGCUUAGACUACUUGAACCAUUGCGCCUGCGGCGAGAGUACCUUGACUCAUCUUCAACGCCAUCUCCAAAAAGAUCAAGACCAAGUUCAAGCCAUCUAUCAUAAAAUCCUAGAUUAGAAGUAUGCUCAGAUGAUAAAAGUGAUGCCAUAGAGUCAACAUGGCCUCUGGAACUGCUUCUGGUAAUAGCAUCCCAAAACAGCCUUCUACUAUUCCUUCUCUCCAAGCUGCUGCUUGUCCUGCCAGAGCCACUAGGUAGUACAUCAGAGGAAACGCUCGGCAUAUCCACAUUAAGUAUGUUUUCACUACACGGUUGUUGUGACUCCCUCAAUGCGGCAUCAUCUGCACCAGAAUGGUUUGUGCCUCUUGUAGGUUCUUCACCUAAUGGACAUAAAGUUGAAGAAGAAUUUGAAGCAGCGGAGUUCAAAUCUGAGUUAAAACUAUGACUACUUGAUCCUUCACUGGAAAGUUUGCUAUAGGAUGAUGUUCCAACAGGCGGAAAAUCUCUGUUAGUAGUAUUACCAACUUCCAGAGCUGGGACAAAGGUGUUAUCUGUAUUUCCUAAGGACUGCUCUAGAAUACCAGGUUUUCUGGAGGUGCUUGCCUGAUUACAAGUCCUCUCAGAAAUAAUUUCCAGUCCAGAACUUCUACUAUGAAGAGAAGCCAUAAGUUCCAUGCUCAAAGAUUUCCCUGAGUCUCUAGUUUCAGUAUUUUCCAAUUCCAUUCCACCUUCCGUGUGGUUACGAUAAGUAGGUUGACUUGAACCGAGAGGGUCAUUCAUGGAAUUGGAAGAGGUUUUUCCAGAUGAAAUUUUCAGAGGCAACUCGGCUUGGACGUGGACAACUUUAGUUGACGAUGUAUCAGGAACACUCUCUGGAAUCACCAUCUUCUCCAAUGGCCAAGUUUCUAUCUGCAGAUAAAGAACUUCGCUAUAACUAAUGAUAAAUAAAGGAAUUCUUGUGUUUUAUUCCACUAUGUUGAACAACAUAAAAGGCAGUAGCUCUUCAGCACUGGUCUAAUCAGAGAAAAGCUUUUGGUCACAUCUCAUAAAUAUUACAGCAGUAUAACAGAGAUUAAAUUAUAUACUCUAUGAAGCUUGAGUUGAAGCAUACAGAAUACUGUUAUUUUUCUUUCUUUUUAAGACAAAAUACCAGCCUCUUUGCAUAAUAAGAGUUUACAAGAUCUCAUCCUAACAGGAGAGGCCCACUCUAUUACUAAUGGAUUGACUCUAUGAAAACAAAGACUACUAAUGAGUAAUGAUAAUUCAGAUGUAAAUCUAAUUGGACAAAUUAAAACAAAUAAACUCAAACUACAUAAAUAAGCUGCAACUAGAUUUGACUAAACAUAAGCUAUCAAUAUCCUUCAUGAUAACUCCUUUCUCUGUAUCUAGUCUCCCCCAGGACACCAACUUCCUCAAUCAGCAUUCUUUACCAAGUCCUUGUCAAGACUUGGUCUUUCUCGUGUUUCAUUAAGUGGUGCAGAGUUUUUAAAAGAAUAAUUUAAUAAAAUAGCACACUGGAGAACGGAGCAAAUCAAAUAAGUUCAAAACUAGGAAUGAUCUAAUAAUUUAAGACCAACUAAUUGAAUACCAAUCACAGCACUUCGUCUGACAAAACUAAAUAAAAAAUUAUAGCAAGUACAAACUUGUAACAAUCGAGCUCCAAGGAGUUCUAUAAUUGCAAAUUACACAAAUAUAGCGAACCAAUAUAUAUGCACCUCAUCUGCAAACAUAAAUAACCACAAAAUGCAAUGAAACUACUGGAAUCUCGUCCUUCUCAGCAUUUUUUUGACAGUGAUCCUUUUCUACUCCUUUCACAAUUAAAAUGGCACAAGUAUACUGCCAAAUCCAAGACAGCCUUAAGUCACUAUAUUCUUUCUAUUCCACAAAUAAUGCGAAAAAGCUUCCAAAUCAAGAUAAAUCAACACCCAAACAGAAAAAUUAAUAAAUAAAAAGAUAAAGAUAAAGAUAAAGAAAAUAAAGAAAGCUAAAUCUAAGGCCUUGUUCGGCGCUGUUGUCGUUUUCUUGUUUUUCUAAACAUAAUUUCUGCACGAAAUACUGUGGGAGGGAAUGGUGUUUUCUCUGCUCGGAAGCAACUUUCUUUUGCUUCCAAAUCCUUUUUAGAUAUAUUUUUUCUUAUGAAAUCGUCAUCAAUCACUUCACCCGAAUACGUUACGAGGUAACUAAUCAUGACAACAAGAGAAAAAUUCUCACACUGCUAUAUCAAAUGUUAUAUCUAAUUAUACAGAAUUAGUUUUUAAAAAAACAAAAAAAGGGGAUUUUUUUUUUUCCUUCUCUCCUUGCGGCGCCAACAUUUCCAUUACUUUAAAUGAAAAUAAAUAAUCUUUACAUCCCCACAUACAAUAAUAAUCCUUUUUUUUUGUUUUUUCGGUUGAAAGGUAAGCAAGGAUAAAAUUAUUAUCAUCCAAUAGAUUGUGUAUUGUAUUUAGGCCAAAAAAACAACAAAGUUACUAAUCUAAUAUAUAUCAUUUCGAAAUGAUACAAAAUUUUAGAGUACCAAAUCAGCUAUUUCCUAAUUAAAAAUUUAAACACGAAUUCAACGAUCCAAAAGGAACAAAUACACCACACAAGAUUCAGAUAACAGGGGAUCGAUUAAUACUAGGGUUUGAGGGGGAAAGUGUUCGUUCUAGGGCACCUGAGCCGAAUCGGAGGGGGAGUUCUCGGCGGAGGCGGCGGAGGCGGCGCCGCAGAGGAGAACGGCGAGGCGGAGGCGCCUCCGGCGAGGGGACGAGCGGGGAGAUGAUGGCCUCGGCUCGAUUCUACUACUCCCGGAGCCCAUUUCGAAACCCUAGUUCGACGAGAAGAGCGAGAGAGAGAGAGAGAGAGAGAGAGAGAGAGAGAGCGAUGAACGGGAGAUGGAGACAGGGCAUGGGCCUUCAAAUAAUUGGCGUAUUAUUUAUAUUUAUUUAUUAUAUAUGUAUAUAUAUUUAUAUUAUAUUAAUAUAUUUUUUAUAUAAUUAUAAUUAGGAUUAAUUUUAUAUAGAUCCCUACAAAUAUAAUAAAUUAUAAAUUUAUCCCUAUAAAAAUCAACUUUAAUAUGUUGUUCUUAUAAAAGUCCUAAUAUUUUCAAAUAUAUUCCUCUGAUUUGGUAUCAUUAAAAUACUAUUUAUUUUAUAAGUGAAAUAACUUUUUUGUCAUCAUAAAUACGUUUUUUCAAAAAUCUCAACUAUUAAUUAAAAGAGGGUAAAAAGAUAAAUUCACCUCAUUAAGUAUUUUAUCUAUAAUUAACUAUUUUUUUUAAUGAAUCCUAAUGACAGAAAUAAUAUAUAAUAGUUAAAUGAUGUAGGAAUAUAUAUUUAUAAUUUAUUAUAUUUAAAAGGACCGGUAUAAAAUUAACUCUUAUAAUUAUUAAUUUUGGUUGGGUUUUUUUUUUAUUUAUUUAUCUAUUUAUUUGGUGAUGGAAAGCCCAUAGGCUUGGAUGAGGAUUACUUGUGUGGUUGGAAAAUAAGAUUUAAUAUUCUCAUAAAUAUAAAAGUAUAGUAUUAUGUUAAUUUUCUUUUGAGACAAUAUACUAAAAAUUAUUUUACUUAUUUUUGUAAAAAUUAUUUAAUUAUUUAAAUUAUUUUAAAAUUAUCUUUUUCUCUUAUCGUCAUAAAUAGUCCUCGAUACCGAAGAAGUAUUUAAAUGAUCGAGAUAAUAGAAAAUUAAACUCAUGCUCUGUUGGCAUUAAUUACUAAAAAAUUAUUAUAAAGAUAAUUUAAUUUUUAAUUUGUUAAGAAAUAAAAAUAUAUAUCUUCAUAUAUGUCACCGUGGUAACUAUUAUUUUGUCCAAUUACAUUAAAUAGCUCUCAAUACUAAAUAGGCCCUCAAAGUUUGGGUACAUAAAUCGAAUUAAUGAUGUGAUUGAUGGAGUUAACGACUAUUUAAAAUAUUAAAAUUAAUAAAAAAUAUAUAUUUAAUUUAUUUAAAGUUUAUGAAUAUAGCAUCUACUCAUUUCGAUUGUAGAUCAACUUAAUUUGCUGGAAUUUUAACUUAAACUUCUUAAUCUAAGACCAUAAUUAAGAGCUUAGAGAAACUCUUUUUUUUUUUUUACAUUUUACAUGCAACAGCUUAAAAUUAUAUAAUUUAUUAGAAUAAUUAUUGCCAAGUUUUUCUUUGGCCAAUUUGCAUAAAGAAUGCACUAGUUUUGGACUUUUGCAAAAGGGGUCACCUUUUUCGUUUUCGGUCCGAUUUUUUAGUAAACUGACCAAAAUAUCCUUUUACCUUUUUCUCUUUUUUUUUUUUCUCUCGUUCUUUUUUUCUUUCUCUUUCCAGAGAGUGGCGGAGGCGGAAGCGGAGGCGGAGGCGACCAGCUUCAAUUUUGUCUGGAGCAUUCUUACCCUGGCCCGCGCACCCCCCUCUCCCUCUCCAGCCUUCCUCGCCUUCGACCCCGGCAAGGUCGCAUUGCGACUUUUUUUUUCCCUUCUCUGACACUCCUCCACUGCCUCCGACGAUGACGCUUAUCUCACCCUCUCUCGCCCUUCUCGCCCUUUCUCUCUCUCUCCUCUUUCGCCUCCUCCGCCGCCGCCUUCGACGACGACGCCUCUCCGCCGACAUUGGCGCCGCAGAGGUCGCUGCGGCGCCGCAGCCUCGGAGUGGGGGGUCUUUAGCUGCGUCGUUGCCGGCACUGUGGCCGUUGGGGGAGAGGCAUGAUAAAAAAAAAUUAUAGAAGAGGAAGAAGAAAAAAAUAAAGAAAAAAAAUUAUAUAAGAAGAAAGAAGAUGAUGAAAUUGCACUGUUAAAAUAAGAUUACACUGUUUUAAAAUAAAUUUGCACUGUUUUAAUGAAAAUUGCACUAUUUGAUAUAAAAAUUAAUUUUUUUGGAAUGAAUUUUACACUCUUAAGACUAACAUUGUACUAUUUAGAAAAAUUUUGCACCAUUUUUUUUCCUUUUCUUUUUCUCUUUCUCUUCUUCUUCUUCUUCUUCCGCUGCUGCCUCCCGCCUGGCCCACGAAAGCGUGGUGGGGGCUAUCGCCGAGCUCGAGGAGGCUCCGGAGGUGGCGGAGAAGGCGAAGGAGAAGGGAGAGGAAAAGGACAAGAAGGGCGAGAGAGGGAGAGAUAGGCGUCGUCGUCGACGGCGGUAGAGGAGGGUCGAAGAGGGAAAAAAAAAGUUGCAGUGCGGCCUCAGCAGGGUCGCAGGCGAGGAAGGCGGGGGGUGCGGGGCGAGGGUAAGGAUGCGCCGAACAAAACCGAAACGGGCCGUCUCCGCCUCCGCCUCCGCCUCCGCCUCCGCCUCCGCCUCCGCCGUUCUCUUCGAAAAGAAAGAAAAAGUNAAAAAAAAAAAAAAAAAGAGAGGAGAGAGAAAAAGGUAUAAGGGCAUUUUGGUCAGUUUGCUGAAAAAUCGGAUCGAAUCUACAAAAAUGAAAAAGAUGACCCACUUUUGCAAAAGCCCAAAACUAGUGAAUUUUUUAUUGCAAAUUGGCCUUUUUCUUUUUAUCUUUUGGUAUUUGAAUGGAAUAAAAAGGAGUAUUUAAGUUACCCUUUUUUGUCCUCAUGUGCCGAAGAUGCUCUUCUAUAACUUUCCUAGGCAUUUUAAUUAUUGUAAAUUUAAUAAUAAUUUAAAUUUAAAUAAAAAAAAUGGUUUUUUAAGCCUUUUUUUUUUUAAAAAAAAAGGUAGCUUUUUGUUGGGUUUACAAAUUUUACUUUUUCCAACUUUUGCAUAACUAAUCCUCACAAUUGGAUAGUGUUGCAAUUUUUUUUUCAAUAUUAUUAAUUCUAAUCUUGCUCAAAGUAUUUUGCUUAUUUCUUAAAAUAAAUUUCCAUUGUUUAUAAUGGAAACUAAAAUAUGUAUUUUUUUUAGGGUUAAUGUCCUACAGCUCCGUAUAAACAAUAUCAAAUAACAAAUAUAUUCCUAUAAAGUUCAACUUUUCAUAUUAUUCCUGCGAAUUGCUCCUCUGGUAUGUUACCAUUGGAGCAUUGUUUAUUUUUCAACAGAAGAUAAGUGAAAUGAUAUUUUUAUCAUUAUAAAUAUGUCACUCCAAAAGCUCAAACUGUUAGAAUUAUAUAGAAAUAUCCUCCCAAAAUUUUUUGAUGAUCAUUUUCAUUUUUUCUGCCAUCACAUGUAAUAUAAGAGAGGUAAAAAAGUCAAUUUAUCUCAUUCACUAAUUAAAAAUAAGUAUUUCACUUAUGAUUAACUAUAUUUUUCUAACGGAUCCUAACAACAGGGUAUAUUCAAAAACGUUAAGAUUUUUGUAGUGAUAAAUAUGAUAAGUUGAACAUUAUAGUGAUAUAUUUAUUAUUCGAUAUGUUUACAGAAAAUUGUAUGCAAUUAAUUUUUUUUUAAGAUAAAAUGAUUGCUUCUGCUUAUAAGCAAAGCAAGUAUUGAAAAAAAAAAAAAACAAAAGCUAGUAAGAGAAAUGGAUUGAGACCAGCUAACUACUUAAGUUGAAUUUUUUUUUAUUAUUAAAAAGAGCCAUGAGAAAAAUAAUUGGAUUUUUUUAAAAAAAUAUAUUAUUUAUUUGCUGCCUAUUAUUUAAUUUUGUUGAGCUAAGUGCAUAGGUAACAUUUUAUCUUUUUUUUUAGUAUGACUAUAAUAAUAUUAUUAUGAUUACAUAUUACAUGGGGCCUAGUUUUAUAAAUAAUCUAUUUGAUUUUCUCAAAAAAAAAUAAUCGAAGGACUGUUUUUAUAAUUAUAACAUUUUCUCAGCCUAUUUGUGAAAAAAGUGGUCCGUCGUUAAUGUGCCUAAGGUCCAUAAAAGAUGGGCCUAAGGCCCAGUUUCUGGGCCUGUUUCAGAAUCUUCUAUAGUUGAGGGGGGUCUCCAUAACAUAUGGGUAGGGGUGUCAAUGAGCGGAACACGAGCGAUCUGAGGCCGGCUCGUGUUCUCCAUAAACGAGCCAAACACGAGUUGACUCGUUAAAAUAGCGAGCCGAAAAAUUCAGCUAGAGUUCAGCUCGUUUAACGAACCGAACACGAGCUGGUUUAUGCACAGCAAGUUAAAAGAAUUAUGAAGAAUACGUAUAGAAAAUAAAUUUAUGAGAUCUUAUCUAUUUGAUUUUAAUCUAAUAGUUAAAAUUUUACAUAUAAAUGAUAUUUUUAUAAUUGAGUUGGAUUUUAUAUUUAGGUUAAGCUAAAAUUCAAAUAAUACAAAUUUAUUAUAUAUAUAUAUAUAUAUAAAAAUAAAUAAUAUAUAUUCGAGUUGUUAUCAAGCUGAAUACGAGCGAGCUGAUCCGAGCUUAUGUUCGGCUUGUUUAUUUAAACGAGCAAUUCGAUCUCGAACUCAUUUCGACUCAUUUCGAGCCGAACACCCCUGUAGAUUGGGCCUGGGUUGAUAGUUGAGUUAACGGUGGGAUUUCAAAAUGGAAUAUCAUUGAGGGGUCUCUGUGCAGUUUUACCGAUUCGAUUCGCUCCGCGUCUCUCUCUCUUUAGAAACUUCCAAGGAGUUCCAGAGACGCGCGCAAAAGCUACUACACACACCGAAUCCCCCUCUCUCUCUCUCUCUCUCUCUCUCUCUUCCCCUCCAAUGGCGCAGGAGCCCUCCUCCGCUGCUCCCUCUCCCUCCCUCGACGACACCCUUCGUCUCCUCCGCGGCGACCGCGACGAGCAGAAGCUCGCCGGGCUCCUCCUCGCCUCCAAGCUCUGCGGCGCCGGCGGCGACGGCGCCGAUGCCGACGCCGUCAUCAAGGUCUACCGCGCCGUUGGCCCCCGCUUCCUCAGCCGCCUCCUCAUCACCGGUGACCCCUCUCUUUCUCUCUCUAGAAGUCUCUCUCCCCCUCUCUCUCUCUCUCUCUCUCUCUCUCUCUAUCGUGCGAUUUUGCUGAUAGGGGUUUGGGGGACGCAGGGAUGGGGAAGGGAGCGGGCGACGCGAAGGGCGCGGAGGAGCGGGAGGCGUACCUGAGGCUCGCUAUCUCGGUACUCGCGGCGUUCGCUAGGGUUCCGGAGAUCGCGUCGUCGGAGGGGAUGGUCUCGGAGGUCCCUCUUGUGGCGGAGAUCGUUUCCAAGGCGUAAGGCUCGUCAAAUCCUGUUCUUUUGUGGGUUCUCCUCCUCUUUAUUGGGGAAAGCUUGGAUUUUUGGACUAGUUAACUAUGAAUUGGAGUAGAUAAUUUGGUAAAGUUGUACUUGGACUUCUCAGGUAUUGGCCAUUUUGAAAUAAACCCCUUAGCUAGUUUCCUUUUGAUUGGAACCUUGUCAAAUUUUGAUUCUUUUGUCUAUACUUUUCAUCAAUUAAAUUAGAAGUUUGGUUAUUUUAAAUGUUUUCUAUGCCUUUUUGCAGCUAAUGGAACUAUAGAUUUUGUUAACUCAGUUAAUAGCUUUUGAAGUUGUUAAUGUUGAUAAAUCCUCAAAUCAAUCUAAAAGUAAAAAGUUCAAAGUUUGAGAGGGUGCCAAUUAAAAGAAAAUUAGUCGAGGGGCCUAUUUAUAGUUGAGGAGGUGCUUAUACAUUUCUACUGAACAACUUUUGCCCGCAGUGAUGAGCUUUAUUUAUCUAAACUUAUCUGGGAACAUAUGCAGGAUUGACCAAUCUAUUGUUGAGGAAUGCUAUGAAUUCUUGUUGUUGGUUGCUUUGGCUUCUGAAGAUGGAAGAGCUAAAUUUUAUGAGCCUGGAGUUCUGGACUUGCUAGCUUCUCAUAUCUUGAACCUACCGGACGGUAAUUGCUUUUUAUUUAGUUAUUUAUUUAUUUUAUCUUUGCUUGCAUUUAUUUGUGUAUUAUGAUUAUUAUCUUAGUUUGAAGGACGACAAACGAAUACUGAUAAGGUUAAGUAGUAAACUCAAAACUAAGUUCAGGACCUAUUUUAAAAACACUACGGUUUGGUAAUAAAUCAAACUUUUUGGAGUUCAGGUAUCUAUUUCAAAAUUUGCUAAAGUCAGGUAAGAUUUGUACGUUUUUUAACCAAUUUUGAAUCAACUUUGUUUGGUCAUAGUCAUGUCCUUUAUCAUGGUUUAAAAAUAUAACUCUUUUCAUGCAAAUUUUGUACAUGUUGUGUCAGUACAAUGUAUUAUAAAUGCAAAUAGUUACUAUUGCUUCUGAGAUCAGGUCACACUAUGCCGGGGAAAAUGAGAAUUAUUUCCUUGUUUUGUAUAUUAUAGCUGGGCUGUUUACUAUCCCAUUUUCCUUUGAUUCUUCAUUUCUACUCUCUUGUUAUAACCAGCAGAUGACCGUCUAUUGCAGGUUCCCGAUCUUUAGAACUUGCUGUUCGACUUUUGGAGCUGCUGGUGAACAAGCUUACGAUAGAUAUGAUGAAUGACGAAAACCUGCAAGGAAUAGCAUCCAUGGUAUAUAUGGGAAUAGUGAAGCACUUUUAUCGUGCUAGUUUAGGCUUAUAAUUUUUGGACCUUAUAAAUAACAGGACGAAGCUUAUUGUGAUUCAGGUGGCUUCCCUUGCUAGACUCUUUGCCGUCCUGCACAACGCCAUUAAAUUUGACGCACUGCACAUGCUUAGUGUUCUUCUAUCCCAAAAAGAUACUGUAAGCAUGACUUCUUGUUAUCCUGUUGGUGUGUUAAAAAUAUGGGUUAGUUACGAGUUCUUUGCAUCUGGUUCUGCUUUCAAUUAACAUCUUCAAAGUUCAGUCGUAAUAAUUUAGUUUGUGAGUAACAACUAAGUCCUCUAUUAACCCUCCGUUAAUCUACCAUCUAAAAGAAAUGCCAUGUCAACAUCUGAAAACUGAAAGCUAUUUAAGUUAUUUGUGUAUUUGCUUUGCAAUAGUGAUUUGGAUUGUACUUUCGAGUGUAAUGAUCGGAUAAAAACUAGUAACAAGGAAAUGUCCUAUGCACUUACGUAUGCUCGGUUAUAUUUUCAAAUCAUCAUUCAGAUUUCAGAGGGCUCUAAGAUCAUGUUUAGCGCUGUACAGUGCAAUGUAGAGUAUAUAUAGGAGACUAAACAGAUAAGAGGUUCAUAACAGGUUGAAAAAGUCUUAUUUUUGCUUUUUAGAAUGAGAUAUAUUCCAUUAUUAAUUAACUGUUAUUCUGCUAAUCUGCAUUAUGGCUGGGUGCUUUGUGUUGAUAAUGGUUUUUGUAAUUCUUUCCUAUUUUUCCCCAUUGAAAACAAGCAUUGGUGUUUUUGCAACUCUUGUCAAAACCAUUGUAUGUCGUCCUACCUUCAUUUAUUGUUUGUCCAGUACAGCUAUAUGAAAUAUCAUAUUUUGGUUAGCGGACAAGUUACUAUCUGAUAGCAUGGCCUAAAAUUCCUUUCUUUUAUGUAGCCACUCCAUGAUGCUCUUAGGUCAAUGCCAAGUCGAAUUUCGGCGGCUCAUAUACGUACCGGCAUUACAGCUAUUCUUCAGAAUCGUGUUGGUAUGCCUAUGUUCUUUAUUUUUAGUGUCAAAGCAUUUCUGUCAGUCAAAGAACAACCAUUGUUCUGAAAUUCAUGCCACUGCAGGCACAUGCUCAAUUGAAUAUUGCUUUUGCUGUUUGUUUUUUCUGAAAUAUUUUUUUCUAUUAUGUAAUAGAUACAUAUUGCUAUAGGUAGAAAGGAAAAUCACUUCUGCCUCAAGUUGUACCCUUAAAUUUUUUCUUGAGAGUUGAGGCCAUAAAAGAUGAUUUUUGCUGGCAAAAGAGGUAGAAACAACACAAAGAAGAAUAAGCUAAGAAAGAAACAAUGAAAAAAGAAUUUGUCCAAGAAACAGUAAUCUUUGUUACAAAAUUUGGAGUUUGAAAAUGGCAUGUACUGUCCUUUCCAAACGUGUCUAGUUUCCUCUGAAAAGCUUCAAGCUCUUCUCCUGGCUGAGUGCAUGAUGUCUAUACUUGGUGAAAAUUGGCUGCUGGAACAGACUAACAUACCCGAAGAGCAAAAGCCCAUGCCUGUUGAAAAGUAAGUAAAAUUUUUCUACAAUUCUUGAGAUUGUGUUAAAACUUAUUUAAACCUAUGUAUUUAAUUUGACUUUUUGUAGGUUUCUACUACUUGUGCUAGAGUCAGCAAGGAUUGAAGUUGCUGUUCUUCUCAACGAACUUGCUUACUCAAAGUAUGAAUUAUCCAAAAGUUCAUCUAAUGCUGAAGAAGCCAUCAAGCAGAAGCAGCGCAGUUUGGCUAUACCAUUUUCAUUAAUUGAGAAAAUAGUCAAAUUGAUCUCUAAUGUUAGUGGGGCAGAAGGUAAUUUAUAGCAUCUUCGACUAUGUUGCACCUUCUAUACCUAGCGUAUGUCGCUUCUACAUCUUGUUUAGCUAGAAAUUAUAUGCCUUUUCUUCAGUUAACAUCUUGCUCUGCACUUGGAAAAGCCCUUUCUUCUGUUAACAUCUUUGUUAGGGCAUUUUUUUAAACUGCUCUUUCCAUUUCUAUUUAGGUCUAUAUAUCAGUGAAAGUACUAUAACAAAAGCAAUUGCUGGAUUGAAUGAGACUAUCAAUGCUGUAUUAGAUUUUCUGCAAGAUUCGAAGGUAAAUAUCCUGACAAUUUUAGAUGUUAAAAACUCUAGUCUUAUAAAAGAAACUUACAGAUGUCAAGCUGUAGGAUCAUGGACAAAGGAAAGGUGAUGAUCUUUUAGCUGCAGUACGAAUAAUCGGAAGGUAUUACACACUUCUUUUGAUAUUCAUAACUUUCAUUGUUAAAAGAAUCCGAUUAUCUCUAGCUAUCAUCAGCUCCUUCGGUGAACACAUGAAGAAUGCGAUCAUUUCUAAACAUAGCGUCAAGUUCGUGAGGACUUUUUAUUGGCCGUCUAAACAUUUAAACUUCACGGCCUACGUGUCCAAUGAAUGAUUUCCGUCUAAAUUGUUAUCCAGUUUGAUGUGAAAUGAUUCUACCACUGAUUUUGUAAUUGGAUUAUAUUUACUUUGCUGCAGCCUAUGAAAAACUUGCAGUAUAUUCUAUUCAACUUUUGAUCAUAUUAUUCCAGUUAUCUUGCAGAAGCUCCCUAUGCCUGCAAUCAGAAGACUCGAGAUCUCUUGGAAUAUAUUCUCUCUGUUGAAGGUGAAGAUGAAUCAAGGUUGGUUAUUCUCUCAUUGAUUCUUUCUUGCAGUGAGUAUUGAUUAAUGUCGUCUAUUCAUUCUUUUUAGUCGAAAGGGCUUAUAGUUUGUUCGUAUUGCUUAAUGACAGCCCCUUCUAUUCUGUCUGCUUCAUGCUUCCAAUGUUGUGCCAAAUAACUAUGGAGGUCGAGGGAUGCAAAACCUUGGUUUCCUUUGGAGGACAUAGAUCUGUAAGUAUUUUUUAUAUUUUAUACCAUAUGCACCACUUAAAGUAUCUCUAUGCUUGCUUACAAUUGACAUCCACUAUCUUCUUCCCUGUGCUAAACUGAAAUCGGUGAUAAUGCUUGUUUUGGUUUUAAGCUUGCACCUAUUUCCUGUUGCUUACCUCAAGGAAUAUAUUUUGAUUUUAUUCCUUUGUAGUUUCCCAGAUUUAUGUGUUGCAUCAUUGUCCUUUAUGGGUAUCUCUUCGUGUGAGUACGAAAGACGUUUGUUUGUUAAAUAUGAAUAUUAAAUGCAGACAUAAUUUGUUUAGUCUCCAAUUUUUUAUGGGUCGCAUUCAUCACUAUUUCAUCUUGAUAUGCCCAUAUUUAAUGUCAUAUUACUCUUAAAUAUGCUAUAUUGUCAUACUGUAAUCUGGUCAAUUUAUUCUAUUGCAAUACAAUGGUUGAACAUAAUUUUGUUUAUUGAUCAAAGCCUUUUUCACGCUUGAAUCUAUCUUCAUCAAUAUGGUUUAUCCCUCCAUAUCUGUAAUCUGGCUCAUUUAUUUAUAAAUUGAAGCCUAUAUAAUGCAUUUUAAAUUUUGACAAUCGAAAGGGAAAGCAGAAAAGUGAACCUUUUUGCUUACAUAUUUACAGGUUGUGAACUGCCUUAUAAAAAUGAUUGAGCAAGAUGCAAUGAUGGUUGAGGAUAAUGGGACAAUAUUUUUGGCAUGCGACACCAUUUUGAACUUUCUGUCUAAUGUAAGUGAAACCAUUCGAGAAAGCUUUAACUUUUGGCAAGAACAAUAUUAUGAUGAUAAUUUUCCAGCCACUAUUCAUAUGCGUAAGUGACUUCUCAUUUUUACAGAGAACGGGCGUUCAAGUUCAAUUAGAACCUCACUUUGUCAAUCUUCUACGGACGCUAGCUUUGUGGGCUGGUAUGGUGUUUGCUUCACUACUCUCAUGUUGUGUUUCAUCCGUUAUUGUGUGAAAGAAAAUGCAAUAAUUCUAUGUUCGUCAAAUUCGAGCGUACAUUUUGAAACAAACCUUUCGAGGCUUAAUCUCUCUAUAUAAUAUGAAAUUAAACUGUUAUCAUAUUAUAUUUAGGGAUUUUAGGAUCAGCUGCGUAAUUCUGGGUACCAAGGUACAUAAGUCUAUGAAAGAUUAUUCUUGAGGUAUGAAAGGGUAGUUUAAGAUGAAUGUGUUGAUGACUUAUCCAUGAUAUUUAACCACCUUCCGUUCUGUGGAAAAACAUAAAGAUAAAGAUACCUCACUUGAUAAUGAGACGAAGGAAAAUUUAGCAAUUUAUGCUCAUUUAUUUAGUUAAAACUUAGAUUGAGAAACUUAAUUAUGAUUGCUGCCAAUGAUAUUGCUGAAAAAUAACCCUCAUAAUUUCCACUUUGGUUCUGAUUUUCAUAUGAUGGAAUGGCUCAUCUGCAUGAAAUUUUUUCUUUAAGAUUUUCUGCUAAUACUGCUAUAUUCAUCCUGAACAUGAUGGCCUUAGGUACUACUAAUGAUCCAUCGAUUAUCAUGAUGGCUUCGAGCAUAUGCACAUUGAUAUUUGACCUAACGUCGGAGGAAUCUCUCUUAAACCGUUCCGAUUUUGACCCCAGAACCCUCGAAAGUUUGUCGCAACUCAUCAUCAGAAGCUUGGAUCAGGUUAUCAAUUCCUUUCUAUUUUUUUUUCUCUGGUCAGUGUUCGAGGACCGGUCACCAACAAAUCAAACCCGACUUAAUUGCAGGACAUAAUCGAUGAAUCAAGGGAUCAUAGCGACUUACGACAAAUAAUUACUGCAGGUUCAGAAAUAAUUUUUUCCCCUGUUUAUAUAUAUAUAAGGAAUCAUUCUGUUAUUUGACGUAUUAUACCUUUUCAGGUUAUAGAAGGUGGGCUGAGCGGUUCCCGAGCGUCAGAAACGCCGUCGAACGUGCAGUAAACAUAUCAACUGCUGGUGCUAUUCCAUCAUGAAACACUGCCAAAUUGUGUUUUCUAUCAUCUGAGGCAGAAGAACAGUUUGCCGCACAAUUUUCAGCCCCAUGGAGCUUCCGGCAGUUGCAUAUCGAGUCGAUGUGCAUGUCAGAUAACCAGCUGAAUUACUACUACAUCUUUUGAUUUGUGAUCGACUGCUGCGAGCCGUAUUUUCAUGAUGCUUCUGCAAAUACCUUGAAGCCGUCGGUGUCAGUCACUUUAUACCACUAGCAAUUUAAGUUUGCUGUACUGUUUAUAUCCCUUGUAGGUUGAUAUGAUGUAACAAAAAUAUGGCAUACACUUGCAUAAACUCUUUGUUGGAAGUAUAAUUUAACAUUUAUGAGAUGUUCUACCUCGCAUGAAAUUCAGUAAUUUAGCAUCACAGGCAAAAUGAAAUUCUCAUUAAAGAUCAUACUUUGGUGGAGUAUCACCAACCUUUGUUUAUGUUGUUUUGCAGUAAUGGACUAGUAGAUUCUAGUGUAUCUUAAUUCAAUAUAUAAAUGGAGGGAUGAUUAUGCGAGGGCCGUUCGAUUGUGACCUGGUCAAAUCCAGCUCUCGAGUAGUGCAAAUGGAUCCGGGUUGAUGGGGUUCCCGCCCGAUUUGCCCUGAAUGGAGCAGUUGAUGGGGGUCAAAAUAAGGAAAAAGUUAAACAUCCUGAAUUCGCUCCGAUCCGCUAGGAAAAUAAAGUGAAUUCGUCCCGUUUGCAUUCCUAUGCUCGAAACAAAUCCUAAAUUUGUCCCGUUUGCAUUCCUAUGCUCCAAACAAAUCUAAUUUCGCCCCAACAUGCGAAACCGAGCACUAAAUAGAGGUAAAAAUAGAAAAAUAAAUAAAUCUAUCCCGAAUCGACCACUACUCCUGCCUCUAGAUCUGUCCCGUUAGCACCUAUUACAUAUAAAAAUAUAAAAACAACAUUCUUUAUCAAUUUAA
rnacentral:lncRNA from 1 species